rnacentral:lncRNA from 1 species
UUUAAAGCACCUAACUGCCAUUAACAUGACAAUGUGCUUGCUCUAUCUAUCUGAAGUUCUGGCUACACUUUUUCAAGGAGAUGCAAUUUUUAAACAUUUUCAAAUUUGUCUUUGCUAUCAACUUAUCAUAUAAAUUAUGUCCAGACUUUAGAUUCAUCUAACAUCAGGGCAAAACAGACACUUAUUGAAUGGGGAAAGGAAACAUAUAUACAUACCUAUCUCCAUGAGUAAUUUGAGAACCGACUAAUCAUGGAAAAGCUUCCACAAAAGUCAGAUCUGAAGAACAAAGCCCGUAGUGCCAUGUCCCUUUGUCUCUACAAUGAGGAGCAAUCUCACAUCCAGGGUCCCCUUCAGCAUCUUCUCCUCCUAGACUUAAUACCAGUGAGGCGAUGGUGAAGGAAGGGUAUAUAGACCUUUCUAUAGGUCACUGGGUCUUACCAACACAAUUCACCAAUGGAAUUCCAAUGUAAUCUGAAAGGCAAGCAAGAUUUAGAGAAUCUUGGAGAAUGAGACAGAGCACAGUGAUGACAAAAGAAUUGGAUGAGUGCAGAAAACUGAUAGAAUGCAGAAAUAAGCUGAGAAUCCAAAUUUAAAUGCAAUAGUCCAUUAAUAACACCCCAGAUUUUUAUUUCAUUUUUGUUGGAUCGAAGAAAUUAUGCGAAGCGUUUCAAUGGAUAGGGGAACCGAUGCCAAAUCUGAGAAGAGAAGUGACUAGGAGUAGAAGAGUAGCGAGUAGGAGGAGUAGUAAAUGGCAAGAUUGAUACCUGAUUUUAAGACAUCUUCGUGAGAUGGAGACGGUGAUGGAAUUGAGGACAAUGGAGUGGAGAGAUGAAGCAUAGGUGAUUAAGGUGCAGACAACAAAGGAGAAGGACACGAUGAUGGAAGGGACAUUUUUCACAGCCCCUAGUUUUGCCCAAUUGUUGUCUGCAAAAAUUAAAAACACCCUUUUUAAGUAACAUAAUGUUUCCAAUGAGAGUUAUAAAUUACAGCAGAUACUUUUGCCUGCGGAGGAAGAGAAGAUUCAUAAAUUAUUCUCCUUGAGAAAUGAUUCUAGCAAGAUCCCGGUAUGGUGUCACAAAUUAGAUUAAGAGAAAUAUUAUCUCCAUUACUGACUAUAUAUCUAAUGCGGGGCUUCAAAAUAUUCUUAACUUUUAAUAACUUCUUCAAAGCAUAAGUAGCAUCUGGUCUACUGUCAAGAUAAUAGCUAUAGAGCCAGGAAAAACAUAGAGACCUCACCUCAAGAAAAUACUCCACACUUUAAAAUACAAGCAAGAUUUUACAAAUCCAAUCUUUGAAUACCAAGGCCUCGAAACUUCUUAGGAGGACAGACGGUUCUCUACACUUUCGCCAACCAUUUCAAAAUCUUUCUUGGGCAACAAAAGGAGUUGACGCUAAUACUUAACCACACUACGAAUAACAGAUUUAAUAAGCUGAAGUUCGCUGGCAUAUCAGAGGCUUUUAACUGUCAAGGCUUUAAAUCUUGUUGUAAUUCAAUGAUUUUUUGAGAAGUUUAUAAUCCAUAUAAGAAAGUCUUCAAACCAAACAAGAACAUAGGGUUGGCUGAUUGGUCAUGUUGUUUGAUUUGAUUGCUGCAUGUUAGACAAAUACAUUUUUUAAAAGCUUAAGCUGUUAGAAAACUUGCCAAACAACGCAUAUAAAAAGUAUAACUUAACAUUCCCCUUGCAUGGAACUAAUCCGUUACACAUGCACAACAAAAGGUGGACGUAAUCACAUCAAUGAGAUAACUAGGGAAAUGAUAACAAACAACAUAACAUUCAAGAAAUUUUAAAUCAUUGACGUGUGUUUUGAUAAGAUGCUAGAAAUGAACAAGUAGAACAUGGAUAAUUUGUCGGAUAUGCGGAAAUAUGCUAAAUCGUUCAGAAGAAAUUCUUUUUAGAUUCUGAUUAUAACCCAUGAUCAUUACCCACCUUUUAAGCAGCUUUUAAACAGCCAGUCAAAAGAAAUAGCAAAUUUACUUACCCUUUAAACUUUGCCAACCAGCGACUCCAGGGCGAUGCUUCUUUGAUUUCAUGAAGCAGAAUAGGAAUAUUUGUGUCUGUACUCAAACCAACUAAUCCAUUCCUUAAUCUUGGAUGGUGAGUAAAAUGAUGGAAUAGAGGGAUAAGCUGCAAUAAAAUCCGUGUCCCCCAUAGAUUCCAAUGUGGGCCACAGUAUGCUCAGAAAUGAGAAGAUUGCUUGUGUGGGAAUAAUUACUUUGCAUCAGUAAAUGCAGACAGAGAGUUGAUACCGACUUCCUUCCACUUCAGGUAAAUGCUGCAAAAGUAAUUUUCACAUAUCGGAAUCAGAGUAUUCAGGCACAUUCCACAACUUUGUAAAUGUGUUUGAAUGGAGUUUCCAGACUAAAGCAGGAAAGAGGAUUUAAAGCACCUACCUGCCAUUAACAUGACAUGAACUUGCUCUAUCCAUCUGAAGUUCUGAGCUACGCUUUUUCGAUGCGAUGCAACUUUCAAACAUUUUCAAAACUUGUCUUUUGCUAUUUAUUUAUCAUAUAAAUUAUGUCCAAUGGAUUGAAUAUCAGGGGAGAACAGAUAAUUAAUAAACAGGGAAAGAGAACAUAUAUACAUACCUCUAUCCCCAGCGAGUAAUUUGAGAACCAUCAUGGGAAAGAGUUCCCACAAAAAGGUCAAAGAUGCUAAUGACAGCUGAGCCUGCAGAUGGCAUCUCCCCUCUUCGUCUCUACAAUGAGAAGCAAUCUCACAUCUCAGGGUCCCCACCUUCAGCAACAUCUUCUUCUAGGCAUGGUACCGGCAAACUUCACUGAUGGGAAUUCCAAUGUAACUUGAAAGGCGAGCAAGAUUGAGAGAAUCUUGGAGAAUGAGGCGGAGCACAGCAAGAACGAAAGAAUCGGAGGAGUGCGGAGAACUGCUCAGAAUGCCAAAAAAAAAACAAAACAAAAAAAAGCAGCUGAGAAAUCUAAAUUUUGGCUGGAGCGAUGAAAACAUGGGAAGAAGCAGUUAAAAAAGGAGAGGGGAGAAGUGAUGCCAAAUCUGAGAAGAGAAGUGACUACGAGUAUUGAAGAGUAGUGAUCGGAAAGAUUGAUUACCUGUUUUAAUUGGAAUAUAUUCAUGAGAUGGAGAUGGAGGUGAGGACGACGACAGAGUGGAGAGCCGAAGCAGCGGUGGCGAUGGAGGUGCACACAACAACAGGGGAAGGACACAGAUGAUGAAGAGCCAGGCCUCAGCCUAUAUACAUGCCUAAUGUAAUUUGUGGGAUUUCGCAAAUGAGGGGCCAAUAGCAGCCGGUCCCUUUCUUGCAUCGCUUCUCUAGAAUUGGGCAAUUGUAUAAAAGGAGUUCUUGGAGGGAGGGAGGGAGGCUAUCCUGGGGCAACUCCCUCAGCUUCAGGCAACACUGGAUCCAUAAGUUCUGUAGAGAGGGAGGGAGACUGCUGGACAGUCUUUCCACUUUCCCCAUAUCAUGGAUAGAGAGAUGGAGCAGAGAGGAAGGGAGCGGAAGCACAAGAUCCUCCUCCUCUCCCACUCCUCCUGCACUACCGUCGAUAUUUAGCCUUCCAAGGGAGGUGAGAGGGGUGAGCCACUCCCUCACCGGUUGCUUCAUAUUCUCACAUUGAGUCACCUCAAGUUCCCAUAGCUGGGGCGGCAAUCCUCCGUCGGGAAAGCGCGUGAAUCUCUCACACCUCCAAAUUGACAGCUUUCGGAGACAUGUGAGCCGAUACAAUUGAUUAGGUAACGAUUUUAUCUUCGGACAACUGUACAGAAAAAAUUCCAAGAUACUGGGAGGAAGAGGAGGGAAGCACUCUACCUCCAAAGCAGGACAACCAGACAACACCAAGGAAGUGAGCUGAGACAGCGUGUGCAGACCCUGGGGUAAGCUUCUCAAAUUCUCGCAACACACAAUUUGAAUCUCUUGAAGAGACUGGAGAGGAUCUAGAUUUAUCUCCGCGAGCGAUUCCACCCCCCCGCAGUCAUAAAUGUCAAGUCUCUUGAUAGUUGUGGGUAAAAAUCCUCUAGGUAAAGAUCGCAACAUCUUGCAGUCCAUGAUAUCUAAUGAUAUCAUUGAUGUAGGUAUACCUGUUUCUGGGAAAGAUACGAGUUUUGGACAGCCAUAGACCGUCAAGUCUCUAAGAGAGGAGAGAGUGUGCAUUGUGCUUGGAAGCUUCUCUAAAUUGACGCACUUCAUCAAUUCGAUAGUCUCGAGAUUGCUAGGCAGCUCUAUAUCUCCUUCUUCAGCCACAAAAUAUAUGAAUUCCGGACAACUGUGUACAACUAAGCUCUUCAAACAACGAAGAGUCUGAAUUGCAUCUCCAUCUUGCCACAAAUAUCUUAACUUUGUACACCCUCUAAUCUCCAACUUCUCUAACUUGAUCAAGGAGCUUGUGAGUCCAUGAUUUAAGUAAGUCAGUUCAACAACAUCAUUUAUGGUUAGAGCAGUUAGAGAUGCCGAGCUAACCAAACUCUGCAACACCCCCUCAUUACAACCUUGGAAUUCUAAUUCAUUGAGAGAUGGAAGGCUAAUGAAAGAUGGCAAGGCUUUCAGCUUAGGGCAAUCCUGAAUGACGAGAUGGUCAAGACGGGGGAAUACAACUCCAACUUCUUCAGUGUCGAUGCAAUGAGACCAGUCCUCCCAUAUCAGCAUGCCCUUGAAUUCCAAAGUUAAUAAGGAUGGAAAAGGAUUGUUACUUCCAUGAAAUUCAGACCCUACCGUGCAUAUUGAAUUUAAACCUUCGAUGUACAGUUCUUCCAGUGAAUGUAGGUGCCCAAGCAAUGGUAAUGCUUUGACCCCCCGACACCCAUGUAAAUGUAAACACACAAGGUUAACAUAUGAGGGACUUGCUAACCAUGACGGGAAUUCUAGGCCACCAUAAUAGGAUAUUGUGAGAUCUUCAAGGUUUUGGUGAGGGCGAAGAGAGUUAAGGACCUGUCCUUCAAGAUCUAUAUUUCGGGAAAUUUCAAAAUCUAUACUCCAUUGCAUGGUCAACCGGCAUAUUCCCUUCUUCACGCAUAAAUUGGCAUCGUUGGCAUCCUCGACUUCUUGAACCUUAUGCAAAUCAAAGAUGCACAAUUCCCCUCUAAGGUUCUCCAGGUUUUUUAACUCCUUCAACCUCAACCCAUUUCCUGUUUCCACUAUGAACUUCGACAACAUCUCAAGACCCACCAAAUUACCUACAUACAAUGGCAUCUUUUCUAGGCUUCUUGUGUUGGUAAUGUCAAGAAAUCUUAGAUUGAUCAAUUUUUCCAUACCUUCAGUAAUUCAAUGAGGUAUUCACAGCCCUGCACAUCAAAGCUUCUAGGUUGUGCAAUGCACAAUUGACUUUGGAAGCGUUCUAAUAUGAGUAUGUGACAGAUUAAGGUGCCUUAGGUGCCUCAAUUUGCCUAUGCAAUCCGGUACCUCGUUGAUGACAUAGUAAUUCAAUGAAAGCACCCUCAAGUACUUGAAUUCGGACAACAAGUCACAUAGCACUUUCUGGGACACACGGGAAAAAUGAUAUGUCUUAUUUAACGAUAUAAAGCUCCUAAGUUUAUGCAUCUGAUGAUAUAUCUUGAGUCUUUCUGGCACAAUGUUAUCACUUGGAAGGAAUGAGGCAUGACGAACUAAAGAUACAUCAAACUCAAAUUCCUCUGAACAAUAAUGGGGUGCACCUGCAACUAGCUUUGCCAAGUCAUUCACAAGAUCAUGCAUUAGGAAUCGUGAUUCAUUGCUACUCGACUUUUGAAAUAACGAUCUAUUUACUAGCUCAUUGAAAUAAUUCAAACCUACAUUCCAUUGAUUCUUUGCUUUUUUUUCAUUCACGAAGCCGUCCGCAAUCCACCAGUGAAUCAACUCGUCCCGCUGAAUUUCAUAGUCUUUGGGAAAUAUAGCACAGUAAGCAAAACAUCUCCUCAGAUUGGAAGGAAGAUCGAGGUAGCUAAGUUUUAAAGCCGGAAGGACGUCGUUUCUUUUUUCUGGUAGAUCCCAAAUCUUGCUGUCCAAUAUAGCUUGCCAUUCAUGAGAACUAACUUUAGUGCGUAGCAAUCCAGCCAAUGUCUUCACAACUAAUGGCAACCCUUUGCAUUUUUUCACUAUUUGGAGACCUAAUUCUUUAAGAUAAGGAUAAUCAUCAAAAUUUCCAACUCCAAAAGCAUGAAAAGCAAACAGAGUCAUGCAAGCAUCUUGUGACAACUCUUCAAGGGUAUAGGGUCUAGCACCGGCUAUUUUAGCAACUAGGAAGUUACGGGUCGUGAUGAUGAUUUUGCUUCCCUUCACUCCUGAUUGAAAAGGUUUCAAGAAGUCAGUCCAUUUUUUAUAGCUCUCAUUCCAAACAUCGUCCAAAACAACAAGAAACUUCUUCCCUGAAAGGUUUCGUUUGAGCUCAUCUUGAAGCCAAUCCAAGUCCUUAUUGUCACAAGACAAAGAGCAACUUAUUUUUUGUAGGAUACUCUUUGUAAUAGCAAGCGUGUUAAAAUCAUUGGAAACACAAACCCAUGCUUUUGCAUCAAAAUAGCUGGUGACUCCAGCAUCAUUGAAGACUUGCUGAGCCAAAGCUGUCUUCCCAAGACCCGGCAUCCCUACUAUGGGAAUUACUUUUAUAUCCGUACAUGGUCUAUCGUCUUCUUCUCCGGUUAGCAAUUUGAGAAUCUCCAUUAUUUUAUCCUCCCUCCCAACAAAACAAUUUUCAGUCAAAUGUGUUGUUGGAAUUGGCUUACUUGGUAAGUGGUUUGUUGAUUGCUUCCCGUUAUUCUCUAUGGGGCUCAGAUUAUCUUUUCUCUUCGUGAUCUCCCGUAAUGUGGCAUCCAUCUCUUCUAUCUUGGAUCUCAUUUCGUGGUUGAACGUGAAUUCUCUCGGGCUCAAUUUGAAGCAACAACUGGGAAGAAGGGAAUGUGCCUUGCUAGUGCUGGGUCCUGUCUUGGACUUGCUUUCAACAGAUUCUAUGACGAGCUCAUCAAGCAAGUCUUCAAUGUCGUAGGCCAAGUUUCUAAGAUCUUCUAGCCACAACUUCACCCAGGCUUGGUCGGUGAGUUGCUUAUCUUCUGCAUCAUCCAGCACCUUUUGGAUACUCUUCAGCAUCUGCUCCCAGUCCUUCAACCGCGUAUCAAUUCCCUCGCGCCGGGCAAAGUUGAGAAGCUCGACAGAGGUCAACCUAUCGAACAACACCUGAAGAAAGGCACAAAGAAAGAGCUCCGCGAUGGGCAUGGCUUGGUUUGUGAGCAGCAGAGGACUAAACAAGAGUGUCCUGAAGGGUUGACACAAAGGGUAUAGAGCGGAGAGGAAAUAUACGUUCUUCCGUCUAGGACAACAGCAUCAAAUGAUAGAGCGAAUCAAUGGACUUAUUAAGCAGUAAAGUGCUCUUUCUUUUAUCGGAAGAAGCUGCCAUUGCAUUUCAUCGCGUCUCAUUUGAUUUAAUUUCAUUUAUGUUGCCUCAAUUUCUCUGAAGCAAGUUGGUCGGAAAUGGGACCAAAGUCUUGGAAUCAUUAAAGCCAAGGAUAAGUGCUGGAGAAGUCCUAAAACUUGUCAAGAAAAUAUAAUUAAUUCAUAAAACCUGCAAAAAGUACAAUAAAGUCCUAAAAUUUGUCAAAAUAUUUCAAUCGAGUCCUAAAAUCGACACUGUCAAAUUUCCUAACGGAAAAAGCUGACGUGGUGCAGACAUGGCUUUUUUUAAUCAUUUCUCUCUCUUACAUGGUGAAAAGUUAAAAAAAAAUUCCGUUAGGAAAUUUGACGGCAUUGAGUUUAAGACUUGAUUGAAAUAUCUUAACCAGUUUUAGUACUUAAUUACACUUUUUGCAAAUUUUAGAAUUUAAUUACAUUUUCAUAACAAGUUUUAGGAUUUUUGCGGCACUUAUCCUUAGAGCCACCAAAAGUUCAUAAUGUAAAGAAGUGGGCCUGUAUCUAACCCAACCCCGAAACUUCUACUUUAUUGUUGUUCAUCAGUUCUCUCUCACCACUCCCAUCACAUAAUUCACAAAUGCACCCAUCCGCCAUCACCAUACAUCACAUAGCUCAUAUGGCAUCAUGGUUUCGUUGAUGUAGUCACAUGAACCCGAUCCCGUUAUCAAAUCGUGGAGCAGUUGUUAUGUAAACUUAAUCUAUGUAAAUGUAUCAUCAUUAAACACUGAUCAUAUGGGUCCCAACUACUAUUCUACGCAACACGAGCCCAUACAUUGAAAGCUGCAAAAUUUUCGUCGUCGAUUGCUCAAUGAGUGUCCAAAAACACUCUAUAAAAAAAUUUAUUUAUAAAAAAAUUUAUUUUCAAAUGAUGAUAAAUUUUUUUUUUAAAUUGUUAGUUUCUCUUCAAUUCUGUCAUUAUCACCUAGAUAUGCUCUACCAAGAAUGUAUAAUCAGAUUAUAUUAGAUGGACAAGAAAACCGGGUGGUUAUGGAUCAAAAUGAAUUGCAAACCUUCAAGCUUCAAUUUGUUUUUUUCCCCUUUUUACCAAGCAACAAUGAUUAUAUAAUAACCCACCCGUGGGCAGUGCAGUUGGUUGAGAUCUCUCAUCCAGCAAAAAAGGUUAAGAGUUCGAAACUCUACGUUGUUAGCGAUUAAACCGGAGGGCCCCGGCGAUGGGUUGCUAAACCAGUUUCCCCCGAGGUAUAGUCGCUAUUGGGCCUCCACCACUGAGGCCCAUGAGACCCCAAAUCGGCAUAAACUGACAAGGGCAGGUUCCGGCGAAUCCUCGGUCACCGGAAAAAAAAAAAAAAACAAUGAUUAUAUCAUAGAUUAUAUCAUAGCAAAGCUUCCUUGGUAAAAAAAUAUACAUGUUUAUUGUUUUAUCCCAUUUAAAGAGGAGCAACCUAACUUCAAUAUGCCCACCUGCGGUUCAGAUAGGUGGAAUUUAAUAUAUACUUACAUGUCCUAGUGUUAUAAUGUGCAUAAAUGUUACGUAAUGCCCAUCCAUUUCUAUUGUUGUUCUUUCCGUUCCUUCUCCUAAUAAUGGCAGACAAGAAGCUGGUUUAAGACUAAAACCUCAUCAUCCAAAACCUCAUCACGGCAGACAAGAAGCUGUUUAGUCAAGGCAUUAACGAAGGUUAGGCUACAGAGUUCCAUGGUCCCUACCUAUCUCCUCUUUCUUCCUCAUGUUUGGGUCUUUAUUAAGGUUCUAAAUUGCUGGAUGACAGGUAUUAAAUCUCGGCCGUUGAUAAUUACGUAUUCCUGUAAAAAGUUCCUGGUGUUUCUUUCUCCAUUGAUUGCUUGUCGAGGCUCUCCCUCCUUCGUCCUUAUUUUGCAUUCAAAUCUGUUUUGCUUUUCCUCAUUCCAUAUAUAAAUAAAUUUUUGCCCAUCGAGCUAUUAUAAGAAUUGAGGAAGUAGAGAUGAUUUGCAUAAAGGGACAAAGUGGAUGAACAAGACAACCUCUUUAUCCUCUACAAUGGUGCAUGGAGAUGUUUUUAUGUAGGGUGGAGAGAUUUUUUAAAAUUAUUUCGUUCAUUAAUAUUGCAUAAUUUUAUCCUGUAUUACCUUUUUUAGUAAAAUGAAUGCCAAAGCUACAUAUGGAAUACAUACUCUUUGAGCUACAAUUUCUAUUAGGACGUUGCUGGGCUGACAGCACAGUUAUUCUCCAUGAAUAACGGUGCCUUUUCAACCACACAAAUUUCAGAAAGAAUGUGGACAAAAUUUUCUCAGAAUUUGGACAGUUUUUUUUUUUUUUUCAAAUAGUCAAUAAAAAUUAACGAAGGGGAAAUAUACUUAUGCCUGUGAACUUUUUUUAACAGCUUUGAUUAACUAUUUAAAUGUAAAACUCAAUUCUUCAUAGUGUACUUGCAACAAUAUUUUCACAUAUUAUUGAUAUAAAGAAAGUCACCCUAGUAAUCCACACGUGUAUUUCACUAAUUUAAUUACAUUCCAAGACAUUAUCGAAUAAGUGAAAAAUUAUGUAUACUACAAUCAGUCUCAUUGUGUUGUUGAAUGUAGACACAAUAUAUACUUAUCUAGUUAAGAUGUGUUAAAUUGAAAUUUGACUAGCAUGAUGAAAAAGUUGGGCUAUACAAAAUAUAAAAAAGUGAAUUGAGGCAAAAAAUUUAAUCAAACAAAUUCAAUAUACUAUACAUUUUUAAAUAAAUUUCAAUUUUGGAUAGUUACAAAAUGAUCUUUGAGUUGACUUGGAUUGCUUUGGCUCAAGUUGAAUUUAUCAGUGUUUUAAGUUGUAUAAAUAAAUAUUCAAGGGCUAAUUUUGGUAAUUGUUUCAAUUUUGUUAAAUGAUGAAUAUAAUUUUUUCAUGACUGCAAGUGUGAAGAAUGUUUUAAAUAGUGAUGUUGUCAAUAGAAAUUCUAAUUUAUUUGUCUUAUAAUAAAAAUGUUUGGACUGGUCUUUCUACAUGAAAUGUAAAUUAUUUCAUGUUGAUAAUGCUUUCAAUAAAACUCUCUUCAAUUCCUUAGGAUUUUUCUAUUUUCUUUUUUAUUUAAUUUAUUUUUUUAAUCUAAGCUUGUGGUUAGGGGAGCAACGUUACUCUCCAAGGAGUAACGGUGCCGUCACCUCAUCAUUAUUCUUUCUAUUAUGUGCACAAUCAGCAUAAAUAAAUAAAUAAAAGCUUCCAUUUUGGGGCUACAAUAUUUAUACGUGCACAAUGACUUGAUUUUGGAUUACAUGGGGUAUGUUUUACAAUCGAUUAAAACCAUUUUUAUUACCGAAUCAAGAGGUCGCUUGUUUAAGAAUAUUUGUUGCUAUUAUUUGCUGCUAUUAUUUGCAAGAUAGUUUCUACAUAAUUGGGACUCUAUAUAUAAAUAUAUAUGGUUGCGCAUGUAGAAAAGCUAAAAGGGAGGAGAGAUGAGGCUGAAACUUCCUCUUUCAUUCAAAACAACGAAGUCUUUUUACAAAAGACAAAUACAUGACGAAAACAUCACUAAAAGAGAACCCAUAAUUAUCCAUGUUCUGUAUAAAGCACUUACUCUGCUAACACCUAAAAACUAUGACAACUGACUCCACUAACUUCAAUAACUGAAGAACCAAAUCAGCAAAACGUGCAAAAAGAAAUAAUUAUUAUUUCAACAAUCCCUCCCUUAAACUGAUGUUUACUAACAUUCAGUUUAAAGUCUUGACUGUUUUCAACAUGCAAACACCUAGUAACCUUCUCAGCUUCACAAAUGACUUCAUCUUGAGGGCCUUGGUGAAUAUAUCAACAACUUGAUCUUCACUCAUACAGUAGAUUAGAUCAAUUGUUCCAUCAUUGUUAAGAUCUCUUAAAAAAUAAAACUGCAUAUCAAUGUGCUUGCUUCUUCCAUGUAGCACCGGAUUUUUGGAGAGUUUGAUUGUUGAGUUAUUGUCACAAAAAAUUUUAGUAGCUCCUGGUCAUUUGAAUUGCAACUCCUCAAGAAUUCUCCUUAGCCAAAUAGCUUGACAAGUACUAGCUGUUGCAGCAACAAAUUCAGCUUUUGUACUUGACAAUGUGAUAAUUGGUUGUUUCUUGGAUGACCACGAAAUAGCACAUGUCCCAAACAUAAAAGCAUAACUCGAAGUGCUCCUCCUAUCAUCUUGAUCUCUUGCAUAGUUACUAUCAAUCAAUCCUAACAAAUUGGACUUUUCACCAUUCUUGCAAAAUAACCCAAAGUCUAUAGUUCCUUUCAAGUAACGAAUGAUUCUCUUGGCAGCUAACAAAUGCAUUUCUGUAGGAUUUUCCAUAUAUCUACUGAUUAAACUCACAUAAUACAUUAUGUCUGGUCUUGUUGCAGUUAGAUACAUCAAACUGCCUACAAAUUGUUUGUAAAGUGUGCUGUCAACCUUCCUCCCUUCAUGAUCUUUAAAUAGCUUUAAGCCAAACUCAACUGGAGUGUUUACAGGAUUACAAUCCUUCAUCUGAAACCUAUCCAAAAAUUCUCCCACAUAUUUCUUUUGAGAAAUAAAGAUCCCAUCAUCCGAUUGUACCACUUCUAUGCCAACGAAGUAAUGCAUCAUACCAAGAUCAAACAUUUCAAACUCAUCCAUUAUAGAUUUCUUGAAUUCUUCAAACAUUUCAUCACAACUUCCAAUAACUUUUCACCCUUAUUGUAAAAUAACCCAAAGUCUCUAGUUCAUUGCAAGUAACGAAAGAUUCUCUUGGCAGCUAACAAAUGCAUUUCUGUAGGAUUCUCCAUAUAUCUACUGAUUAAACUCACAGAAUACAUCAUGUUUAGUCUUGUUGUAGUUAGAUACAUCAAACUAUCCACAAUUUGUUUGUAAAGUAUGCUAUCAACCUUCCUCCCUUCAUUAUCUUUGAAUAGCUUUAAGCCAAACUCAACUAAAGUGUUUAUAGGAUUACAAUCUUUCAUCUGAACUUGUCCAAAAUUUCUCCCACAUAUUUCUUUUAAGAAAUAAAGAUCCUAUCAUCCGAUUGUACCGCUUCUAUGCCAAGGAAGUAAUGUUUCAUACUAAGAUCAGACAUUUCAAACUCGUCCAUUAUAGAUUUCUUAAAUUCUUCAAACAUGUCAUCACAACUUCCAGUAAAUAUAAGAUCGUCAACAUACAAGCAAACAAUGAGUAUUUUCUCUUUAUCUCCAAUAUUGACAAAAAACGUAUGCUCAUAAGGAUAUUUUGAAAAACCAACUUUAAGAAAAUAAGUUUCAAUACGACUAUACCAAACCCGAUGGGCUUGUUUUAGCCCGUAAAGAGCUUUCUUCAAUCUAUAAACUUUAUGCUCAUUUCCAAUAUUAACAUAACCAGGGGGUUGCUCGAUAAAUACCUAUUCCUCCAAGUACCUAUGCAAUAAUGCCGAUAUGAUAUAUAGCUGGAAAAUAGGCCAAUAAUUCUGUGCCGCCAAUGCAACCACCAAUCUGAUCAUAUCAUGUCUCGCAACUGGAGAAAAAACUUAUGCAUAGUCAAUCCCAUAUUGUUGCUUGUAUCCCUUGGCUACCAAACGUGCUUUAUAUUUGUCAACUUCACCAUUUUCUUUCGGUUUUGUUUUAAAGAUCCACUUUACACCAAUGGUUUUUUGUCCAUCCGGAAGAUCAGAUAACUCCAAAGUAUCAUUUCUUUCUAUGGAAUUAAUUUCAUUAUCCAUUGCUUUUCACCAUUUUUUUUUACAGCACUCUCAAAAGUUGUAGGAUCAUAGUUUGAAAAUAAGGCAAAAUGAGUAAUUGAAUCUCCAAUUCUAGUUACCUCAUAAUCUUCCAUCCAAGCAAGCCUUCUUCUAACACGGCGAAGAGAUUGAGCUUCUUCUUCAUUGACUUCAGCGCCUAUUGGCGAAAUUCCAGCAGUUGUAGAAGUCAUAUUUAAUGAAUUAUUAGGCAUACGAGGUGCUGAAAUUUGCUCCUAUUCAGCAUCAUUGUCAUAAAGGUCUUGGGUAGGCUGCUGCCUAUUCCAAUCCCAAGUGUUCUCUUCAUAAAAAAUAACAUCCCUACUAGUCACAAUCUUCUUUGUUAGUGGAUUGAAUCAUUUAUAUGCUUUGGAUACUUCACUUACACUAAGAAAGACACAUUUUUCAGCAUUGUCAUCAAGUUUCUUCCUUUUCUCAUUCAGGACAUGGGCAUAUGCGAUGCAUCCAAAGAUUCUGAAGUGAUCUACAGCCAGUUUUCUCCCACUCCAAGCCUCUUCUAGUGUCAUAUUUUGAACAACAAAAGUUAGAUUUCUAUUCAAAACAUGAAUACUCUAAUUUACUACUUCUGGCAAAAAGUCUUUGAAACUCUUCCUCUUGUCAAUAAGCUUCUCACCAUGUUGAGAGUAGUUCUAUUUUUCCUCUCAGAUACACCAUUAUGUUGUGGUGUAUAUAUAGCAGUAAGCUCUCUUCGAAUGCCAUGCUCUGCACAAAAAGCUUUAAAUUAUGUUGAGCAAUAUUCACCACCACGAUCUGUUCAAAGGGUCUUAAUGGUCUUUCCUGCUUCAUUUUCCACACGAGCUUUAAAGCUUUUAAAUGUGGAGAAAGUUUCUGAUUUUUCCUGUAAAAAGUAAACCCAAGUUUUUCUAGAAAAAUUAUUAAUUAAGGUAAUUAAGUAUCUUUUACCUCCAUUAGAAGAUGGGUUUAUAGGACUGCAAAUGUUUGAAUAAAACAUCAUUUGUUAUCCAUGACUUUUCUUUUUUUUUAAAUUGAGAACAAUGUUGUUUGCUAACAACACAUUCUUCGCAGGCUUGGGAAGGAAUAAUAAUUUGAGGAAGACCUGUCACCAUGUUUUUCUAUUGGAGGGUCUUUAAUCCACCAAAACUUAAGUGACCAUAACGAAAAUGCCACAACCAUGAGGGAUCUUUCUUUUCAACCAUCAAACAAGAUUGAAUAUUUUCAAUAUUUAAUGGAAACAAUCUAUUUGAACUCAUAGGAACAACUACAAUAGCACCUCUAAUAGAAUCAUAAAUUUCACAAGCACCCCUCUGAAUGGUGAUUACAUAACCCUUUUUCUUGUAAUUGACCAACACUCAAUAGGUUACUUUUCAAGUCAAGAACAUACAACACAUUAGAGAUCGUUUCCACAAAACCAUUAUUGAUUCUUAUCUUAAUAUCACAUUUUCCCAUCACUUUCACUGUAGAAUGAUCUCCAAAACUCACAAUGGAAUGAAAAUCUUCAUUUAGAUAAGAAAAAAAAGACUUACUUCCACUCAUGUGGUUACUGCAACUUGUAUCCACAUAUCAAAUAUUUGACUCGCGCUUCUUUUCAUCUUGAAUAGCCAUCAACAACGUUUCUACUUCAUUUUCUUCAACAAAAUUUGAACUUUAUGCCUUUUCUUUAUUAUUAAGCGGCCCUAGUAUAACAUUCAGAUGCAUAAUGACCAAAUUUAUGACAUCUAAAACAUUCUACCUUAGAUUUGUUAGGAUCUUGUCAUCUGCCUUUGCCUUGAAAUUGGUCAUUAUUGGCUUUAAAAUUCCUACCAACAUCUCUAUUUCUUCUAUAUCCCCUUCUUCUACCUCUACCUCUACCCCUUCCUCUGAAAUUGUUGGAAUGAGUAUUGGUAGAAGCCUUCAAUACUUGCUUCUCUACUGUUGAACUUUUUUUCAUCUUCUGUUCAUGAACCAAUAAGGAGCUUUGCAAUUCAUCAAGAGAGAGCGCAUCUAUGUCUUUUGACUCUUCAAUUGAGCAAACAACAUAAUUAAACUUUGGUGUCAAGGAACGCAAAAUCUUCUCCACAAUGGUGACGUCGUCUAUCUUCUCGCCAUGGAAUCGCAUCUUGUUGCUAAUCUCCAUUGUUCUGGCAUAAUAAGUAGUGACCGAUUCUCCAUCCUUCAUCACUAAUGUCUCAAAAUCUCUUCUCAAGGCUUGAAGCUAUACACGCUUCACCCUAACAAAGCCUUGAUAUUUCUUCUUCAUAGAAUCCCAAAUAUUCUUGGAAGUUUCUUUGCAAAGAAUAUCUCCAAGAUGGGAUGAUCAAUAGUCUGAAAAAAAUAAUUUUUUGCCUUUAGGUCCUUCAACUUUCUAGCUUCCAAUUCUGCUUUUUGGGAAUCUGUCAAAGCCAUGCCUGCUGGUGGCUCUUGAAUUCCAAAUUCGACAACCGACCAAUACUUCUUUGACCGUAAAAAAUUCUCCAUUAGCAUGCUCCAAUGGUCAUAAUAACCAUCAAAGCAUGGAAUUGAUGGUUGAACAAAAUUGUCGGUGGCCAUUGGAAAUAUUGCUAGUGCAAUUAUCUCACGAGCGUAUCUUACACCUCUAAAACUUCUUUAUUAGUAUUUAAAAAAAAAAAAAAAACUCUCUCACGCUUCUUUCAGGCUCUAAUAUCACUGUAGAAAAGCUAAAGGGGAGGAGAGAUAAGGUUGAAACUUCCUCUUUCAUUCAGAACAACAAAGUAUAAAAGACGAAUACAUAACAUAAAACACCACUAAAAGAAAACCUAUAACUACUCAUGUUCAGCAUAAAGCACUUACUCCACUAACACCUAAAAACUAGGACAACUGACUCCACUAACUUCAAUAACUAAAGAACCAAAUCAGCAAAACAUGCAAAAAGAAAUGACUAUUAUUUCAACAAUGCAAACACGCACUGACUGUAUCCUGACAAAAAUGGUGGGUUGCCCCACCCAAGCCUCCAUUGCAACGAGUCUUCCAUCUCCCCUUUGGAAAUAAGAUCUCGAUAUUGGCAUUCACAUUCAUGAAGUUUAAACCUUAGCCUACCUAGGCAUGGGGUCGUACCGCCCCCUGCAGCAGCGAGGUUGACAUGACACGAAACUUUAAUAAUGGCUACAUGACCGAUGAAGGGCUAGCAAGCAACCUAACUCCACCUCCCUUGUUGUACUAACAUGGAAUCAAUCUUGUCAUCCCUUCUUUAAGAGUUUUUAUAUCAAGCCAAGCCAUCUAAAGUUGAAUGGAUGUAGCAGUGGUGUGGCCAGCUCAAUAUGACUGAUAAGAAGCGAUCGAAGGAGCUGGACAAAUCGCCGGUCCAAAGUGAGAAAAUAUUAGCUGUAGCUCUGACUCCAACGUGGCAUAGUCAAAGUCCAUUCACCGGGCAACACGUGUUGCCCGGGUGCCACGCUGGAAUCAGGCUCCGUUUAGAAAAUGGGGAAAGUCGGUUCUCUCUCCUCUGGUUGAUAGAGAGAGAAAAGACAAAAUAAUAAAUGCGCGCACUCCUGCUUAAAAAAGCCCCUCUCCUCUUUUAAGUUUUCAAGGGCUAUUUCUCUCUCUUCUCAUGUUCUUCCCUUCUCCUUCCUUUGUCUUCCUCCACAACGGCGAUGACCCAAGCGAGAAGCUCGCUCAGAACUAGUAGCAACAGACCCCGCCAUCAAUGAAUGCAAUGGUGACCCUAAGCGGAAGCACGAGUGUGAUUCGACCUAGUGGAGAUCUCUCUCUGAAGACUGCGACUGCGACUGCGACUGCUUCUCCUUCGUCCAUCUUCCUCCCUCAUUAGCGACGACCCAAGCGAGAAGCUCACUCAGAACUAAUAGCAACGAACCCCAACCAUCAAGGAAUGUGAUGGUGACCCGGUGAAUGGACUCAGACUAUGCAACGCUGGAGUUAGAGCUGCAGCUAAUAUUUUCUCGUCAAAAGUUGGAUCUCUCUCUCUCUCUCUCUCUCUCUCUCUCUCUCUCUCUCUCAUUCUCUCUCUCUCACCCUUUUGAAACAAGAUCUCUCUGUAUCUUCUUAAUAUUGGCGUUCACAUGUAUGAAGUCUAGACAACCGACGUGGCAGUACAGUUGAGUUGGGUCCCUCGGCUUUUGCUGAGGCCUAAAUCUUUACCUUGACCAUGCAUGGAGUCGUAUUGCGCUCUGCAGCAGCAAGGUCAACAUGACACGAAGCUUUAAUACUAGCCACGUGACCAACAAAGGGCUAGAAAACAACUUGACUCUACAACCAUGGUUAACUAUUGCCACGCCUACCCUGAUGUACUAACAAGGAGGCAAUCCUGCCUAAGCGGUAGGGGUGUACAACCGAACCGGGUUUACCCGGUUCUCGGUCCGACCCACCCGAAAAACAGGGUUGAGAACCGGUUCCAGAUGAAACCUGUCCCGGAAUCGAUUCCCAAAAUUCAGACCCUGUUUGAACCGGUUUGGGAACGGGUUGCGAGGGAUUAUCCACCCGGAAACCGGAUCAACCGGAAUAGUUCAGAACCAGUUUGAGAACCGAUGUUUAAGCAACCCAAAAGACCAAACCCUAAUCUGUUUUGAUGUUUAUUCUUUACCUCUCAGGCUCUCACACCCGCAAACUUCCCCGAGCUCACGACCUUUGCCAAUCCUGGUUCCAUUCGAGCGCUGACGCUACUUCCGCUCGCCCACCGUCGCCUUCCUCCCAUGACACUCACAGCCUAUGAGAUCCCCACAUCACCACUCCACCUCUUCCUGCUCCGUGCCCCUCGAAAUCGCGACGCCGCCUCUGUCAACCUGGUUCUUGGCUGCUCACCAGCCUUGCUCUGAGCUCCCCUCUCGAGCUUCACCGCCAGAUCCAGCUCCCCGUGAUGCUGCUUCCUCAUUUGCGUUCAUCUGCUUCCUCGUCGCGCCAUCGCCAGCUCCUCGUCGCUUUGGGUACCCUCAUCAAAGUGUUACCUUUCGGUCAGUAUUUGUAGUAUUCUGUCUCAAAUUGGUACCAUCUAAACUUGGUUCAACUGAUGAAAUUUUUUGCGACAUUGACUAAAGAUUUCGCCUUCUGGUUCAAGCUGCUUGCUAUUUUCACUCAAAGUUCAAGUCUAGUGAUUCAAGUACCUACAAAAAGAACGGUAUGGAAAGUUGCUCCUGUUCUAACUAAUAGUGUUUUAACAACAUUUUUUGUCAUCUCUUCCUCCUGCAAUUCUUUAUCUUGCCAUGCAGCUGCACUAUUUUUAUUGUAUUUGAAAUUUUAAAUAACCAAUUUCUAAAUUGGACAUUACUAACUGUGAUGGAAACCUGGGCACUACUUGCAUUCAAAGACCGUAUACUGAUUUAAAGUUUUGAUUAGAUUUUUUUAUCUUGUUUUGAUACUGGGUGAAGUUUAAGAUUUGAACACUUCCUAAAGAAAUUAUCUAACGUCACACUUGACAAUAUAAAGCAAGGAUCAUAAACAAUUCUACAGUCAUAUCACUCUCCUCUUUGACUGUGGAGAUUAAACAUGUCUUUAUUCUUUUUUCUUCUUUGGAUUCAAGGAAGUCUGUUGAAAUCCGACUUUGGGACACCUGGAGUGCCAUAACUUGGCACAGAUGGACACUUAAGUGCCAUAAUUUAAAAAUGGUACACUUAAGUGCCAAUAUCGGAGUAAAAUGGGACACUUAAGUGCCACUCCAGCGAAAAUCCGGCCAAAUGGCUGACGUUGCCAUUUUCUGGCGAGUUUGGUCCAAAACGGCGUCGUUUUGCACGCUGAUGUGGCGUAGAAAACGCAAAAACGAUGCCGUUUCAUGUCUACGUGUAAAUAAUAAUAUAAAAAUUAAUUAAAUUAGAUUUAAAAUUAAUUUUAUUUAAAAAUUUAAAAAUUUUAAAAAAUUAAGAAAAUUUUAAAAAUUUUAAAAAAUUAAGAAAAUUUCAAAAAAGGGGGGGUUCAAAUGGGGCAGCUGAGGGCUGAGCCCUCGCCGCCGCCGCCUCCCCGCCGUCGCCGGGAAGGGCCGGCGACGGAGGGGGGAGGGUCGGCCGGGGUCGCCAGCCCCCGGCCGACCGACGGCGAGNNNNNNNNNNNNNNNNNNNNNNNNNNNNNNNNNNNNNNNNNNNNNNNNNNNNNNNNNNNNNNNNNNNNNNNNNNNNNNNNNNNNNNNNNNNNNNNNNNNNNNNNNNNNNNNNNNNNNNNNNNNNNNNNNNNNNNNNNNNNNNNNNNNNNNNNNNNNNNNNNNNNNNNNNNNNNNNNNNNNNNNNNNNNNNNNNNNNNNNNNNNNNNNNNNNNNNNNNNNNNNNNNNNNNNNNNNNNNNNNNNNNNNNNNNNNNNNNNNNNNNNNNNNNNNNNNNNNNNNNNNNNNNNNNNNNNNNNNNNNNNNNNNNNNNNNNNNNNNNNNNNNNNNNNNNNNNNNNNNNNNNNNNNNNNNNNNNNNNNNNNNNNNNNNNNNNNNNNNNNNNNNNNNNNNNNNNNNNNNNNNNNNNNNNNNNNNNNNNNNNNNNNNNNNNNNNNNNNNNNNNNNNNNNNNNNNNNNNNNNNNNNNNNNNNNNNNNNNNNNNNNNNNNNNNNNNNNNNNNNNNNNNNNNNNNNNNNNNNNNNNNNNNNNNNNNNNNNGUCGCCACGUCAGCCAUUUGGCCGGAUUUUCGCCGGAGUGGCACUUAAGUGUCCCAUUUAACUUCAAAACUGGCACUCAAGUAUACCAUUUUAAAGUUAUGGCACUUAAGUGUCCAUCCGUGCCAAGUUAUGGCACUUGGGCUGUUCUUUACUUGCUGAAAUCCAUUAUGGCACUAGAGCCAUUUCGGGCUUUUUUAGCCAAGACCAUGCCAAAGUUGGUGAUCUUGUUGUUAAGGAUCAGGUAUGAACACUUAUGAUUUAUGCAAUUGUUCUUCCACAAGACAAUAGACUUACCUGGGCAGUUACAUUGGCUUUCAGGAAUUUAUUGAAUCUACCAGGGAGCCAAGCAUCACAUUCUUGGCUGCAAAGUUUGAUGGUAUACUUGGACUUGGGUUUAAAGAAAUCUCAGUGGGUGACGCUACUCCUGUGUGGUAAGUCAGUGCAUGCCCACAACUAACUGUUAGAUGCCAUUCAGCACCUUUAGGAGUGUAUUUACAAACCAAUGUCUUAUCAUUUGAAAUUAUUCCUUUCCUUUGUACCUUUAUUGAAUUUCUAAAUUAGAGGACAUGUGCAGGUAUAAUAUGGUCAAUCAAGGGCUUAUCAAGGAGCCGGUAUUUUCAUUUUGGUUAAAUCGCAACACUGAAGGGGAAGAAGGAGGUGAAAUUGUGUUUGAUGGGGCUGAUUCUAGUGACUAUAAGCCAUAAGGUAGAGCAUAUAUAUGUUCCCGUGACUCAGAAAAGCUACUGGCAAGUUGGCUACCAAGACCUAAUAGGUUUUUUGUCCAUACUUCGGGCAUUGCAUUUAAGUGUCUAUUUAAUUGGUUCUUUUUUCAAUUGACAGUUUAAGAUGGCCGAUGUCCUCAUUGGAAAUAAAACUACUGGUAAGUGUUUAUGCAUAUUGUUGUUAUGUGUUUCUAGAUCAAUUAUCAUUCUUUCCUCCUCCUUAUGGCAUUAAGUGAUUACAAACUCUCUUUUCAGGAUUUUGUGCUAGUGGUUGUUCGACCAUUGCAGAUUCUAGGACCUCCUUGUUGGUAGGCCCUAUUGUAAGUUUCAUAAGCAAUGAGAAAUUGCCAUUGUUCAUUCUAUUGACAAAUCCCUUUGACACGCUAAACAGUGUACAUGUGCCUGAGUGGCAAAUUCACUAUAUUUGACUAUUAUCAUAUUCUGCAUUAUUCGAAUUUAUAUAUGUGAAUAAACUUGAUUAGUUUAGUGUUUGAAAGGGAUGAAAAUUGAAAUAGGUAGUCAAUUGUUAUUUCUUGUUUUAUUGGUUUCACUUUUUAACUUUUAUAUCUGAGGGAAAAACUUAUUUAGUUCUAUAAUGUGAGAGGAAUACAUUUAGGAACUCAUCUUUCAUUUCUGUAUUUACUAGCUUCUUUAUUUGAGAUAAUUAUGCAGAAAUUUUCCAAGAGCUUUGAAUGAUACAUGGCUUAAAUUAACUUUUGUUGAUUGAACAUGAUACUGGCAAAUGGGUUUCAUCAUCUGUUCUAUUGCCGUAAAAUCUCCUUGGACCAUGCUAAUCCGUUGUGGAAAGUGAACUACUAAGGUGAUGAUAAGGCAAGGCACCUUUAGAUAUUCUCAUUCAGUGGGCAAUGGUUAUUAUAAUCAAUAGUUUUUUAUUUAUAUAAUAUCUAAUUACUUGGUCCUGCGCUGGAUCUGGUUGACAGUUCUUCAUUUUAGGGUUGUCUUUUGUCUUGUCACCUUAAAUGCUUCCACUUGGAACCAUCAUAUAAGUAAGACUCACCCAUAAGCUCAACCGUCAAGAGCAAAUCAACUUUAAUGUUGCCUUUAAAUUUGAGGAUAACAAUAUGGGAAGUCGAGAGGAAAAGGUUGGCUAAAAUUGGGGACUAUUUAUCAGUGUGCAUGUGCUUAUAUUGAUCAAGAUUGUAAACGUUUUAUCUUAGAGAUGAGUGUUGUACAGCAAUUUUUAUGCAAAACAAUGUUUCAAUAUAAACAGGGUUAACCCUGUUCUCGGACCGGAAAAAUAGAGUGGGUUGGGAACAUGAUCCAAUGCAAAUAGGGUCGGAUACAGAAUUAAAAAAAAAAAAAAAUCGGCUAUAACAAGGUCGAGUACAGGAUUUAGGUCUAAACCCUAUUCACUCUGGACCCGAUCACUCCUAUUAAGCGGUCAAAAGUUGAAUGGAUGCAGUAGUUGUGUGAUGAGCUCAAUAUGACUGAUAUGAAACAACUGAAGGAGCUUUGAGAAGUCGCCGGUCAAAAGUUGAGUCUCUCUCUCUUACCCUUGCGAAACAAGAUCUCUCCGUAUCCUUCUCAAUAUUGGUGGUCACAUGUAUGAAGUCUUAAGGACGGACAAGGCAGCAUGAUUGACGAUUGAUUUGGGUCCCUCAACUAUCAAUAAUCGUACUGCCCUCUACAGCAGCGAGGUCGACAUGAUACGAAGCUUUAAUAAUGUCUAGUGACCAAAGGCCAAAAAGCAACUUGACUCCCCCAUGGUAACUAUUGCUAAAGCCUGUUCUGAUGUACCAACAUGGAGGAAAUCUUGCCCGUCCCUUCUUUAAGAGUGUUUGUCUCAGGCCAAGCGGUCAAAAGUUAGAUGGAUGCGGCAGAGGUAUGAACAACUCCAUGGGGGGGAUUUUUUUUUUUUUUAAUUUCUUUAGUUCAGUAAUAUCUUAUAAUUUUAUCAUGUAUUACCUGUUUAUAUUAUAAAUUUUGAAUGACAAAGCAACAUAUGAAAUAUAUAUUAUGUACUUUUUUAGUCAGAAUUUCUAUUUUGUGCACAGCCAAGCCCCCCAAAAGAAAAAAUUACGUUCGUGGCGAUUCAAUAUUUAUACAUGCACGAUGACUAAAUUCUGGAUUAUAUGGGUAUGAAUAUUUUACAAUUGAUUAAAGCCAUUUUUGUUACCGACUCUUUUUCUUCUUUUUUUUGAGUUACCGAACUAAGAGAUUGCUUUUCUUAGAAUAUUUGUUGAUGUUCUUUUGUAAAACUAAUUUGUACAUAUUUGCGACUUGAUACAUAAAGGGUUAAUAUCAUGAAAAUUUUUAGAUUAAUAUACUUAUGACAAAUUCACAUUUUAUUAGUGUUCGUUAAAUUUUAGUUUCAAAUUGUUGAGUUGGAUGGCACGGAUUUUACCUUUUGUUUGUCACGGGUAUACUAACUUGUGAAAUCAAACGAAAACUAAUAGAGAGUAAAUCCAUCACAAAUGUAUUAAUAUCAAGUGUUUAAUAUCAUAAGUAUUUUAAUUUUGAUUUUUUCGUUGUAUUAAUCCAUAUAUAGAUAUACAUGGUUUUUCAUCUCAUACCCUCGCUCUCUAUCUCUCCCUAUGGAAACAAGAUCUCCCCUCAUCCUCUUUAAUAUUAGCGUUGAGUUGGGUCCCUCAGCUAUGACUGAGACCUAAAUCUUGAGAAAAUAUUGGGUGCUAAAGCAAGCCCAACAAAUCUCAAUCCAAUCUGAGAUUUUCUUUUGAAUUGGACUGGGCCUGAAGCGGGCUGACUUUGCGGGCUUGGGCCUCAAAAUCGCGGGCUUCUGAUUCUGCUGGGCUUCUAAAAGGCGUGGGCUUGCUGCUGGGCCAAGACUUGGACUGCUGGACUUAUUUAAUGGGCUGAGGACUGCUGACUUUUUGGGCCGAAAUUGGGCUGAACAAAAGCCCAAAGGAGCUGCUGAAGUUUUGAGCUGAAUCUGAGUUAGGCUUCAAUUUGCUGAGCCCACGAUCAAUGGAAGGCAGUCAGUGCUGUUGCUGGGCCGAGACACACUCAAGCGAAGAUGGACUGGAGUGCGUGGGCUUGUUGAAGGAUCGGUGGACUGGCGCUCGUAGGGGCUUCACUGGCGUGGCUGAGGAAGACCAAGGAAAUACUGACCAAGGCGAUGAAGACUGCUACCUCGGUGAUGCUGCGAAGACACUGGGCUUCUCUGGACGUCGUGCUGGAGACGCACGAGCAGCGAAGAUGAGCUGCUCGCGGACGUUGGGCCAGGUGGCGUCGUGACCAUCAAUCGUGGNNNNNNNNNNNNNNNNNNNNNNNNNNNNNNNNNNNNNNNNNNNNNNNNNNNNNNNNNNNNNNNNNNNNNNNNNNNNNNNNNNNNNNNNNNNNNNNNNNNNUAUGGACCACCCAAUAUUUUUCCCCUAAGUCUUAGCCUUGCCCGUGCGUGGAGUUGUACCCCCAUAACGGAACUGGACUCCACCACCAUGGUCAACUGUUGCCACACGUGUCCUGAUGUACUACUACAUGGAAGCAACCCUCCCAUCCCUACAGCGUUUAUCUCCGGCCAAGCUGUCAAAAGUUGAAUGGACGCCGCAGUGGUGCGGCCAGCUCAAGCGACUGAAGGAGCUUGAGGAGCCGUCGGCGAGAGAGAAAAAGAAAAACCGCCGGUGGAGGAUUUGAGGACCAGCCAUGGAGCAACGGUAAUGUGCAUUAGCCGUUGGUCAAUGUCCAGUAUAAGUUCCCAACUAAAAUCUCCAACUCAAUGCGUUAGACCUUUUUGUGCCUUAGGUCGAAAUUGGAGCAGUGGCCGUUCAUUCAUCUCACCAGCAUCUUCGGAAAAGGAUUGGAUCUCCCAAACAUCAUCAAUGAAAGUAGUUGCAAGUUGGCCAUUAAUGCUCUGCUCUACCCCCUACCUAUGCUAUGCCCUAACUCUAGGAAAGAACCACCGGGGUUUGCCCAAUGGCCACAUUUCCAAUAUGAAAAAUGGAGGUGAAGGGUUUGAAUCUACACUUUCUCAGGAGGGUUUGGAGUGGAGACGAUUUAGUUUCAGGAGUGAGUUCCCACACCCUACAAGGAAGUAGGGCAAAAGUUUUAAAGCGAGCGUUAAAGUAGAGAUAGAGUAGGACCGACAAAACAAAACAAAAAACUCUAGGAAAGGCAACGAUUGUGUAUAACGUGGUCCUCCACUUUCUCCAACGAAAGAUGUCUUAUUGUAUAGCUCUUUAAAUGAUCAAUGAAUCUUGCAAAAUUAUAAAAAGGAAAAAGAGCCAUCAAAAAUAUUAUACUUAGUCUAAUGUGAUAAAUUUAAUUUAAAUAUUUUUUAUGACAUAAAAAAUCUCAAAUUUUGUUCAUGAAAGUUAUUUUCGUAUUUUAAUUUAAUGAUAUUUUUUUUUGUCUUUUUUGGUUUCCUUUUAUAUUUUUUUGCCUAUUUUUCUUUUUCUUUCUUCCCUCCCUCCGAUGUGGCUGGCGAAGGGAAGCCAGACUUAGGCGAGGCCACCCUCAUCAGCAUCCGGUGAGGGUAUCUGUCCAGCUUCCCUGCCAUGGCUGGCGGAGGAAAGAGAGGAGAAGAAAAAAAAAACAAAAGAAAAAAAAAUUAAAAUGUGAAAAACGAAAAUAUCUUGUACUGUAAUUUGGGAUGAAUGUGUCACGAGAGUAUAAAUUUGAGAUUUUUUGUGUUAUGAAAAGAAUUUCAGAGUAAAUGUGUCUCGCAAAUUUUGAAUUUUUUUAUGUCACGAAAAAGGGUUUUGGGUAUAUUUAUUACAUUAGAUAAAUUUUAAUGUUUUUAGUGACUUUUUCUCUUAUAAAAAAGUAUAGAUUGGAAUAUCAUGCAUGUCAGACUUUUCUUAAUAUAUUUUACAUGACCCAUUUGUUUAAAGGUAUAUAUAUAAUCUGAUAAAUUACUUGAUGGAUCAAUCUUGUUAACCAUUCUCAAAAUCAUCUAGCUAAAUCAUCUCUACAAAUAGAAAGCGCUGGCUAACAUUAGUGAUAAUAGUGCGACAAAUCGACAUUUUGACUACUGAUUUAUUUGAUACUCUAGACUUGAACAUUCUAAUUGCAUUCUUGACGUGAUAUAGGGCAUUGCAAGAUCUAUCAUCAUUCAAACACAAAAUUGAACAUGAGAAAAUCACUAGGAUUUUUCACUUCAAUCAAAUGCUAUUUUAUCAAAAAUCAAUUUAUUUAGAUAACCACACACAGCCAUAGAAGUUAGGUAGUUUAGAUAGUGACUUUGGAAAGGUGGCUUGAUAAUUAGAAUAUAAUUAAAAUGUCACCAUAUACUUUCAAAGUUCCAAUAUCAAAGGUUAUAUCUUUGAAGUCCUUUUCAUUUCUUAAAAUUGUUAUACUAGAUGGGAUAAGAUUGAAUGUGAUUCACAAUGGGGAUCUACAUCUCUCAUUUUGUUCUUAAUUUUUUAUACCUAACACUCUGUUCUUAACUUAGGUUCAAAACUAUUGGUAGUCUAAUUAAUCAAAUUCUCGAUGGGGAAAAUGCUAAUCGAGUUCUUAAUUAGAUGGUAUCCGGUAAUCAUACUCGAAAAACCUCUCUAAAAAUUAUUAAACCCCCACAAUCACAAAAAAAAUUUGAAACAAUGCAGUUUGCUUUUAGCUGCUUGUGAUAGUGAGACGUGCUACUCUACUAGAAAAGAAAGCAUGCAUAAAAAGAGGCUCGUGGGCUGUAAUUGGACAACUAAUCCCCUCAAGUUUUAUGGGACCUUUUAUAUUCGAAGGCCCAUCUAGGCUGUAAUUCCCGAAUCACUUGAAGCAAUGAAAAGAACUUGUUUUGACCAAAAAAAAAUAAAAAUAAAAAGAGCUUAUGAAUCAUGACGAAUAUUUUUAGGACAUCCAUAUAUUUAAGUUAGAAGUGUCAUUUACUUCAUUUUUUGCCAUACGAAAUUACCCCCAACAAAUACAAUUUCCGUAUUAAAAUAACGCCCACUUUUUUUUUUUGAAAAAAAAAGGCAUAACCACCAUUUUAUCUCACAAUCUCUCAUUUCAUCUACAUAUUUAAGCUGAAAGUAUAAUUUUUCUAACUUUCACUUUUUAAAGUUACCCUUACAAUUACAAUUUCCAUUUAUUGAAUAUCCACCUAUUAUGCUUAGCCACAAUUUUGUCUCACGACAUCAUUUUUCUCAAAGUAUCUAUAUUGAUCUAGUGCUAAUAAGUUUUUGACUUAUACUUUUACAAUACGAAGAUUCUCCUCUUAUUUUUAAAAUGAUAUCACCAAAAGCUUUUGGAAAUCAACAUAAAUAGGCUGAAUGGGUGAAUUAUGGAAAUAUUUAAUAUCACAAUGAAAUUUGAUACNNNNNNNNNNNNNNNNNNNNNNNNNNNNNNNNNNNNNNNNNNNNNNNNNNNNNNNNNNNNNNNNNNNNNNNNNNNNNNNNNNNNNNNNNNNNNNNNNNNNNNNNNNNNNNNNNNNNNNNNNNNNNNNNNNNNNNNNNNNNNNNNNNNNNNNNNNNNNNNNNNNNNNNNNNNNNNNNNNNNNNNNNNNNNNNNNNNNNNNNNNNNNNNNNNNNNNNNNNNNNNNNNNNNNNNNNNNNNNNNNNNNNNNNNNNNNNNNNNNNNNNNNNNNNNNNNNNNNNNNNNNNNNNNNNNNNNNNNNNNNNNNNNNNNNNNNNNNNNNNNNNNNNNNNNNNNNNNNNNNNNNNNNNNNNNNNNNNNNNNNNNNNNNNNNNNNNNNNNNNNNNNNNNNNNNNNNNNNNNNNNNNNNNNNNNNNNNNNNNNNNNNNNNNNNNNNNUACCAUGUGUCCGUAUUUGAAUCAUCGAGAUUUUCACAACAAUCAAGAGUCACCAUUAUGUUGAAUGGGUUCAUUGUGGCUCGAAGAAAAUCGACCACGGGUCAUUUGCAUUAAAAAAUUCUGAAAAUUACCUGAUAGUCUAGGUCACGCUAAAAACGUGUCGAAGUGAAAAUAACCGUGAGUUUGAAUUCGAUUUCAGAAAUCGAAAGUGCUGUCGUGUCAUGAGUCAUUCUAGGAACGUCGAUUCACCUUUCAAGGAAUUUUUGGCAAGUUCGGAAUUUUUAAAGAAAAUCGUUGCGGACGAUGCGAAGAAUGAGUGGAAACUCGGAUAGGCCAAUUUGAAGAGACUUUUGGCAUCUGGUGUAAGAGAAUCGAUGAAUGAAAGUUGUUUGGGUUUUUUCUGAAUUCAAAUUUGACCUCAACCAGAUUUAUUUGUUCAGAAAAUCGAAUGUUGAGAAAAAUAAAGUAGAAUUCGGAAUUGAGGGAAAAUAGCCAUUUUUAUUGUCAAAGACUUGUUAUUUGAGGGAAUUAUGGUGCAAGAAAGCAAGUGAGGAUCACGUGUUUCAUCUUGAGGAUUUUUUGGGAUCAAAUUGGAUUGAAUGGAAGUUGCGGGACCAAGAUUAGAUUAAUAUUGAAAUCCUGUUAAUUUUUUUCCCCAUAUCCUUCGGUCUUCCCCUCUCUCUCACUCUCCCUCGCGCGUGCUUUCCCUCACCCGACAACUCUCUGCUUGGUCUUCAAUUUUCCUUUCUUUUUUGACCGGUCUCGUCUUAUCCUCUUUUACGGCUCUCUCUCAAUCCAUUUCGCACGUUCCCUUCUUCCCUUAUCCCUUCCCUCUUUUAUUUGUUUUUAUUCUGCCUUUUGUUUUCUUCAGUUCGGUAAAAGGACUAGCGACCCACCGAUCUCUCUCUCUCUCUCUUCACCCAUGCGAGCUGCCCCCACGUCUUCUGGUUUUGUUCCUUUCAUUUGGAGUUUCCUCCGAAGCUCUACCCCACGCCACAUGGCCGCGCCUCCACUUCACUCGGUCAACACCCCACCGAAAUCCCUCCCGGCUUUGGCUUCGUUGACCCGCGCCUCUACUCCACGCCUGCAAAACCCCAUCGAAGCAGUAUCCGUCCGAAGCUGCUCCGUCUUCGUUUUCUCCCCCUGCCGUCUCACGCUGCAGCUUCUCGGUCGGAUUGUUGACCGCAAGUUCCACGAUUGAUGGUCCACGACGCCACCUGGCCCAACGUCCGCGAGCAGCUUCAUCUUCGCUGCUUCGUGCGUCUCCAGCCACGACGUCCAGAGAAGCCCAGUGUCUUCGCAGCAUCACCGAGGUAGCAGUCUUCAUCGCCUUGGUCAGUAUUUCCUUGGUCUUCCUCAGCCACGCCAGUGAAGCCCCUACGAGCGCCAGUCCACCGAUCCUUCAACAAGCCCACGCACUCCAGUCCAUCUUCGCUUGAGUGUGUCUCGGCCCAGCAACAGCACUGACUGCCUUCCAUUGAUCGUGGGCUCAGCAAAUUGAAGCCUAACUCAGAUUCAGCUCAAAACUUCAGCAGCUCCUUUGGGCUUUUGUUCAGCCCAAUUUCGGCCCAAAAAGUCAGCAGUCCUCAGCCCAUUAAAUAAGUCCAGCAGUCCAAGUCUUGGCCCAGCAGCAAGCCCACGCCUUUUAGAAGCCCAGCAGAAUCAGAAGCCCGCGAUUUUGAGGCCCAAGCCCGCAAAGUCAGCCCGCUUCAGGCCCAGUCCAAUUCAAAAGAAAAUCUCAGAUUGGAUUGAGAUUUGUUGGGCUUGCUUUAGGCCCGGCCAAGUUCGCUGACAUUGUCGAAAAUUUAGAUUUCGGCCGCCGUCGUGCCAUCGUCACGGUGAACCGGUUUCCACAAUUAACUGGUGAGUUUAUACUCUAAAUUCUGCUUAGUAGGCUAAUGACGUUUAAGGGGUGUUUAGAUUUAUUUUAUUAGGAAUUAGGUGGUUAGUUAGAUUAAAUUAGAAAUGGAAUUAUUUAAUUAGACAUGUUAGGUGGUUAGCAUGGUUUAGCUAAGGCCUAAAUAAAUUGUACUAUUUAUCUAGAAGGGUUCGGGAAUUUCUCUGAGUUCGUAUUGGUUAUUAAUUUAAUGAUUCUGGCCUAGGUUAGUAUUUUUAGAAUUUAAAUUGAUUUAUUUAAUUAAUUUCAGUAAUUAUUUAAUUAUUAAUUAUUUUUCCAGAAAUUAGGCCGGGAUAGCCGGUGACCGGAAUUUCGUGUUGAUUGCAACGGUGUGGUUAAUUUAUGCAAUUGAGUGUUAAAUUAUGUAAAUUGAGUGCUAAUUGGAUUUUGGUAUUUAAUUUCAAAGAUUGUGAGUUUCCAAUGUUUAUUCAGAAAAUCCUAGGUGUCGGGUUUUGACACCGAAAAUGGUUUUUAGUACUAUAUGAGAUAGUGGGAUUUUAAAAAUGAAGAAUAUCAAUUUUUCGAGGUCAAGUUGAUUGUGUACCCACACACGAGUAAUUUCAUGUGAAUUUCUAAUAUUAAGAAAAAUGCUAGGCUCACCAUUUUAAUUGAAGCAUUUGAGUGCAAUGCACGAUGCUCCGGGCCAUAUUUGAGUGAUCGUGUGAUAGUUAAGAGAAAUCGUCCUAGGCUGUUAAGUUGGACGUUGGGGCUAUUUGGUUCAACUUUGGGGAAAUGGCUUUGCAUUUCCCCAAGUAUCUUCAUAAGAAUGGGCAUUUGGUGAAUGCUGAAGUGUUUGGGAACUCUUAUUUUGAUGUAGCAUUUUGCAAAAUAGCUUUGAGGUGAAAAGAAAAGGGAAAAAAAGAAAAGGAAAAAGAAGGAGGAGAUGUUGACGCAGAGGAGCGGAGCGAGGGGGAGGCAAUCGGAGCUAGUGGGGGAGGCAGCCGGUGGCUGUGGUGGGAGAGGCGGCGGGUGGCUGUGGUGGUGGGGAGGCGGUGGGUCGCGCAACCCACGCACUGCCGUCCUGUGGGUCGCGCGGCCUCAAAGCGACCGGAUCCGGCCGGCUAAGCACCGCUCAGCUUGUCUCGUGGGUCGCGCGACGCCGCCUGAGGCCGCGACCCACGCGACGACGGUGCCGGAUCUGGUCAGCGAGCACCGCUCAGCCUGUGUCUCGUGGGUCGCGCGACGCCGCCUGAGGCCGCGACCCACGUGACGGCGGUGCCGGAUCUGGUCGGCGAGCACCGCUCAGCCUGUGUCUCGUGGGUCGCGCGACGCCGCCUGAGGCCGCGACCCACGCGACGGCGGUGCAUGGCCACCAGAUUUGGGCGGCUAAGCGGCGUGGGUCGCGCGACGCCGCCUAAGGCCGCAACCCACGCAACGGCGGUGCCGGAUCUGGUCAGCGAGCACCGCUUAGCCUGUCGCGUGGGUCGCGCGACCCAGGCGACGCCGCUAAGGUCGCGACCCACGCGACGGUGGUGCGUGGCCACGACGGUGUGUGGCGACGGUGGUGCGUGGCCACGGCGAUGUGUGGCGACGGCCGUGCGUGGGCGACCAGCUCCGGCCGGUUGAGCUCCGCCGGCUGAGCUUUGGUCUUGAAGAAACAAGGAAGACGAGGAAGAUGAUGAAUAGUUAUUUUUGAGGGUAAAACAAGAAAACCCAAUUAUCAAUGAGGGCAAUAUUGGAAGAAAAAAAAUUCAUUAAACCCUCCCUCAGCAUUUUCGGAAUGCUAAAUGCCCAAAGCAGCUCCCCACCUGCUUUGGGCUUUCAGCAUUCCAGAGCAUUCCAAAUGCUAGCAUUCCCCCAAGUAUGGCUCCAAAUGCUGAACCAAACGGUUUAAAUUUUUCCCAAGGGGCUUUCGGGGCUGAAAGCCCCUUGGGAAUGCUGAACCAAACAGCCCCGUUAUCCCUAUUCGGGAUACCCCCUAAACAACGGGAAGCCGGUCGCAGUUGAUUCUGGACCCUUUGGGAAAGCCGUCUGAUAAAGAGACGUGCCGUGCUCAAUGGGGUGAGAUGAUGCCUAGCAAUGCCGGAAGACCGUCGAACAAAGAGUAGGCCGUGCUAUAUGCCGAGAUAAAAACUAGGAAUACAUAAUUAAUUGAGUGUGGCGUUUUAGUUAUUGGAGCUUAUUUAUUGCUCAUGCUCUCAUGUUGUCUGUAAUAUAAAUUGUACUGACCUACAGGGUGAAUCUAAGAUGAGGUAAGUCUCAUUGAUUGUGUGAUUGUGUGAUUAGGACACUUCUGGGCAUAUUUCCCUCCUAAUUGGGGUUGAGAGUUUAGACUUGCUGAGAUGAUAUCUCACCCCGUUGUGGGACAACAUUUCCAGGGUCAUCAAGUGGAGGACCGGGAGCCGAGAGGAGGUGAUGUGAAGUGUCGGUUAGCUAGGACCAACUCUUUUUGGAAAGUUGGUUUUUGUGGCCUUUUGGUCAUGGACCUUGUACUUGACAUUAUGUGAAAAUAAAAGCAUGUUUGUUCUGUGAAUUCGUAUCCUGCUUUUUUAUCUCGAGAUGAUUACUGUUAGGGGAUUUUUAAUCUACUUCUGCAUGUGCAAUAAAACAAAAAGGGUCAGCAACUAGUCCUGGGAAGUCGCAAAAUUAUUAUCGACUAGAGAGGGAUGGGCACGCGCUCGGGGUUCGGGGCGUAACAAUAUUAGAAUGUCGCCCUAAGGUAUUUUUUUACAAAAUCCUCUUUUUGCAAAUUGAAUGACCCGAAGGAAUGCUUUAAAGUGUACAACGACCCCAAUUAGCACAUUAAUUAGGCCUAAAUGGAAAUUGCUGUGUUGGUAUAUAAGCCUAAUUUACCACAUUGGUGACAAGUGGUAUGCUCCUUCCCAAUUGUUAAUUCUGCACACGUGUGUACCACUUUCUAGAUAAUCAUGGAAAAGAUAGCCUUCAUAAGUAGAUUGGUGUUAGGAAGAUAAAAUUCGUUCAAUUGAGAUAAGGAAUGCAUUACUUAUUUAGAGAGAUUUUAACUACGCAAAUCAUUUGUUAAUUGGCAUGGCUUAUAUAAGUUCAUCUUUUCGCUUGUGUUGAGGAUCCUAAUAUUUUAUGGAAUUCUUUUUGUGCUUGAGUGCUAUGUUUUUCUCAUUUUUGCAGCAUCAUGAGAUAGCAGAAUUGUUUGUUUGUGACAGGUGUGCUAUAUAUUGGCUGCAGCAGCGCUAAGAUUGGGAGCAUCGUGUUAUGUAGGCUUUCUUUAAUAUGAUCGCGAACAAAUGCAAGCCCACUCGACUGCGAGUUGAAAACUAGAGCAAAACUCUCUCGAAGAAAAGGGAUCCACAUUUAAAGCAAACUUAGCUAAACUAUGAGCCGCUAUAUUACCUUCCUUUCUGUUAUUUACACCUUUAACAGGACACCAAUACUCUAACCUAUUGGAGAGAAGCUCUAAGCACCACUGAACAUGAGAAUCUAAAAACUUUUGCAUCUAUCGUUUAGGUUCUAAUCCGUACAUCACGUGGGAACUCAUUGUUGAAAUUCCGGCAACUUGCUCACUUCCUUCUAUAUAUACCAGAUCAGCUGGGUGAUCGGAGGUGAUUGCAGUAGUGGUGGCGGCCGCUGGGAAGCAGGCUGUGAAAAGCUAUCUCCCAACAUGAGACGUGAGGAAUUUUCUGAAUUGUGUUUUGAGGUUGGAUUUGCGACAGUAAAAUUCAUAACGGGCUUGUUUCGUGGUUUAAUGUUUAGUGAAAGGCAACCUGCAAAUGCAUAAUGACCCAAGUUUCAGUUUGUAAGCAUGAACAAUUUAAAGCCUCUGGUAUGAUUGUCCGACAAUCGCAUUGCACAAUUCAACCAUCAACACACUAAAGAAAAUGUCAGCGAUAAUCAGAUGCACUCUAGGCAAUUGAUCCCACACGUCAAUUAAUUAGGCUUGUUUGUGGGGAGUGGGAGACGCCCAUUAGAAGCUAGAACAGCUCGUAAGCCUGCCGUCUUAGGAUGGCAACAGUCCUAAACUGCCUAGAUUUCCUCCCCGUAGCAAAAGCCUAUGAAUAAAAAAUUCCAGUAGCCUCACCUGAGCUUCCAUGAAAGACGAUCCGGAUCAGGAUAUGUCGAACUCAGACAGGUUUUACUCUGAAAUCAGGAAAGGAUUUUGAUGAACGGGCCUAAGUAUGUGUAUACUGUUCCUGCUUCUUCGUAUCUAAUCGUCUCACUUUUAAACCCAUGAAAAUAUGGAGGCAACUUUUCCAAACUCCAUGUAGAAGCUAAUGCUUUCUCAAGAUGCUAGAGGUCAAACUGUGACUUUAUUGCAUGACCGUACUCCUAUCCUAAUAAUAUUUCUCUUUAUUUACUUUGCACACAUUUCUCGAUUCUUUGGGUCUCCACAUGAUCUCUUGGCAUAAGGACUGCACCUUAUUUCGCCUUUAGUAAUUUUCAUUGAGUAAAUCCAAAAGAGCACGGAGAACUUGUGGCAUGUCUUCAGCAGGACUUUCAUGGCCAUAGUUGCAUGGGAAGUUGAUGGAUGGACCUAGCUUUAGAGACAUGAAUUUCAUCUCUGUCAGGAAUGCUAGCUUCACCAACAUUUACUGAAGCGUUCACACUUUUCUCACACGAAGAUGAGGUCACAGAAUCGAAUGGAUUCUUGUCUUCAUUUCCAUUGACAAAGUCCUUGCCAUCAGCUACCCCAAGAUGCUUGAAUUGGGUAAUUUUGUCUAAAUCAGUCUUAGCCAGUGGUACACUAUAAUCUCUGUAUCUUAGCAUCUUCCUGCAGCAACAGGAAACAAUGUUGUUGAGAGAAAACAAUCUCAGAACUUUUAUAUCCCUCUAACAAGAUAUUUGAGAAAGACGGGGGCAGAAAAUAACAGGAAAAGCCAGAACACAACAUUUAUAUUCCGUUGGUUUCUGAAAAUUCCGCCCAUAAUUUCCUGUCAUACUCGUCAUAGAGAAUUCCCUACGACAUACCAUAAUAAACUGGACUAGUGUGUAGCCAAAUGAACAGCAUCUGCCCUUAAAUGGGAUGUUGUAGGUAGUGAGGAAGACCUUGAGAUGGGAAGUAUUAAGAGGUUUAGCCAAUAAAAGAGUAAUAAGGAAUUUACUUGACAUUGUGUGCACGCUCUGUGUCAAGCUGAUGGAGUCCUGCGAGAGACAUUUGCUGGAGUGAGGCUCAGAAACAGGACAAUCCAGAAAUAUAGAAGAAACUUUACCCUUAUUGUCCCUAGCCAAGUUCUCUUUAGAAGCAUCUUUUUCCUCACUGUCGUCAACAAUUUUCUCUUGUGGAAAAAUAAAUGUCAGCAAUCGCUAUGCAGUUUCAUUUUUGCCAUAACUUUAGGUCUCCCAAGUCAACUCAAGCUAAAAGGGCCGUCCUCGUAUCUGGCUAUAAAUCACACAACCAUCCUAAACGUGUUUCUGAAAGUCCAGCGGGGCAUCAGGAACUUGGCUUCACAUACAUGGAGUGUUCCAUCAUUAGCCAAAUACACUUCCGACAACGGAUAACUUGUGGUCUGAGGGUUCACAUGGGAACUUCGCCAUCUUCUCCCAGGCUAGGGAUUGCAAUGUAUGCAGCUUUUAUCAAGUCGUUAUUGGGGGGAGGGUGUAAGCCGGAAGUCCUUGGGUCCCUUGAAUUUUGAAUUUUCACACUUAAUUGCCACAAAUAAUCGGAUUCAAACAAAAUGCAUUGAACGACAUGCUCAUUGUCUUCCCAAGAAGCACCUGGGCACCUUGCCAAAUCAUGAUAAAUAUCUAACACAUUUUUGGGUAUAUUUCUCUUGAACUGCACGGAGAAGGAUAGACGAGGUCGGAUGUAACAGAAGUUGAGAGUAUUCUGCUUCUUGCACUCCUCAGAACUCACAGUGCAAGUUGGACAAUGCAAGUCUUCCCUUACACAGGCAUGGAAGGACAAUAUUAUCCGACUGAAUAUCUACCCAAAGCAAUUGCCUCUGAAGUCAAAGCCUGUAAAAAAUUCAAGAGCCAUUAUUUUAAAUUUUAUAUAUCUUGCGUCCGGCUACAUAUUUCAGCAUCAUGUUAGCAGUGGCAGCAACAGUGGCCAAAACUGAACCUUUUAUGUCACUCCUUUCGAUUAUUUAAAUGAAAAUUAUAUGCACAGAAGCAUCACAAAAAAUAUUUGCCGAUUUUCGUUCCUAGUAAGGUUCCUUGCUUUACGGGACAUUAGAAAGGCUGCGUAUUGGCGGACAGUCAUGAACGGAAAAUAACUUGGCUCUGACAUUAACAAGAGGAUGAGCUUCCACCGGAAAAUCCAUUUAAGAUGUUUCAUCCAAAGGAAAGCGAUCAUAGGCAUCAGAGGAGUCAUCAUUUCCACAUGCUGAAACGACUUCCCCUGCCCCAUUCUCAUCAUCAUGUUCUUGGUGAUGUGCUAUGUCCCCACACCACAACCUGCCUUAUGAUGAAUAACGGAGCAAAAAUUAUAGUUCUGAACCAAAGAAAACCUCAGCAUGUCUUUUUGAUGCAGGUCCUAGCAUACUGUGUACAUACAUGAGGAGCAAGUCCCCUUAGCAACUGAAGUGAAACACAUAAGAUAGGAAACCCCAGCUAGAUAUAUAGGGUCCCCUCUUGCACAACCAUAUGAUAUCGCUUUAUUGAACGAGUUUAUUUACUUGUUUCGAGAGGAAAUCAGAAAAUGCAAUGAUCAUAUUUGUAAUGAUCGUCAAGAAAAACCAUAACGUCUGUGAAGUUACUUAGAAAACAUUGUUCAACGAUGAAAAACAUCGAAAAAGAUGCUUCGAGCAUCUAACAGUGCCUAUUUGCCUAUAAGCUCAGUAACGUGGCUCAAGUAAAGAGGAAAAUCGAAAGCCUAAGUUAAGUACGAAAAUGAAGGAGUCCAAGUAGAGCAGAUCCUUUCAUUUUGUGUAAUGCUGACCUAAAAAGAAAAAGAAAAAGAAUCGUUACAUUCGAACCAAAAGUGAGAUUUCCCAAUUCCUAAGUGAUCCUCGCAUUACAUCUAUAAUAGACAACCCCCAAUUUCAGGUAAUUGACGAGUGAAAAGUGGCAUUUAUCUCGCAUCAUAUUUCUAAAGCACCCUUGCAUUACACCUAUAACCAUCCAUUUCAUGUUGAAACAUUUUUUAAUGAUCUUUAUGUAUAGCCAUCUAAUCAGACGCUCGUGCGUAGCGCCUGCCUUUGCUUCAGUAAUUGCUUGAGGAGAAAAUUUUACAUUUUCGGGUAUGCUUUGACUUAUUUCGCAUUUUGCGUAAGUAGAUAUUUUAGAGCAAGAAAUAUUUUUGGAUGAUAUUCUGAUUAACAUAACUGUUAACAUAAAUUAUUUUCGGGAGUCCAAUCUUUGGUUUGUUCAUUGUCCUCCUCCUCCUUCCUCCAUCUCUUUUCACUGGCUCUUCAUAAGCAUAGACCAUUGGAGUCUGCAACUGGGUCAAUCCCGAGAAAUUCUCCAUCAACGUUGAUGGAGUUUUGAUACGUGUCCCGAGAAAAAAGAAGUGCUGGCCUCAAAUCAAGCCUCUUCGAAGCAUUUCAAUCGGACAAUGGCCAUGAUUUUAGUUUGAAUAAAUAUAUUUAUCGACAGCUUUCCAGGCCCAUCUCGGAGUUUUGAUACGUGUCCCGAUGGUGAUGUUUUGCAGCUCUAGUGGAUCCACCCAUGUUUCAAUAACUCGAGGAUAUACCUUCGUAACGUAGUGUACGGUCGAUAUUCAUGAGACUCGAUCAUGUGGUUGUUCUGCAUCGCCUUUUGCCGAGAGCUUCAAAUUGUUGUUUCGAUUGUCGCCUGUCGUUGGGACUCAGGUUUUGUCUCUGCCAUUGUCUAGCUGAGGAUCCUACGUCACAUGGUUCUCCAAAAUUGUACGCUUUUCUGUUUACCGAGUGCUUCAUGCCACUCGUCCACAACCCGUUCGACAGAAUGCCCGACUCCAAAUCGUAAGCUUUCUGGAUUUUGAUAUGUCAUCGAAUUUUAAUCAUUUCAAGCCUUGAACAUAACACGGGUGUUUGCUGGUCGCUUUUGUUCAUAUGUAGAAUGUGCGGAUUUCGAUCUCAUUUCGAUAGUGUUCUAGUCAUGUGAACAUAUAGAGAGAUGCUGCGUUGAUGUUACAUUCGCUUUCCAUCAAAUUGUAGCGUUUCAAGGCUUGAAACACAUAAAAAAAUGAUAGGAUUCCAUAUUACCCAGAUUUGAGUCAAGUAAAGUUGGUUGUUGUUUGGUGUUCCUGUUGCGUUACUUGGACCUCCUCAGCAUGUAUAUCCACGUAAGAAACCGGCGCUUUAAACUUGUGUCGACUUCAUGUUGGAUUAUCACAUUCUUAUGCUCGAAACGGGCUUAAGAUGUCCUACGAGCUUGCUGUCCGUAUGUAUUUGUGCAGUGAAUGAGGAUUUGUUUUUAUCUAAUUUGGAUGAAAUACUUGCAUUUGUGAUUGGUGGGGUCUUCGUUCUGUUGAAGUAGCUUCUGGCGCUUCUUGUUGGGUCUCCUGUGAGCGUUGCUGUCAACUUUUUCUCAUAUUGGACAAUAGUAUGCAUAGAUGAAAGUUGCUUUCUGCGAGGUAAAGAAGUGAGUAUUUUGGGCUAAAUCUUCACUGCAUCACGUUGACAUCUUCUCAACUUGCCAUUCAUGCUUUGAGAUUGUAAAAAUAUCACCCCUCGUUCUAUCGGCCGCUAGUUGGUCAUUAAAAUUCUAAAAAAAUUAAAAAAGAAAUCGAAAGCAAAAAUGGAAAAUGCAAAAUAUAACGAACAGAAAUUGCAUUUAGGUAGGUGCAUCUUAGGAAUAGUUUUAAUCCCGUUUAAUUUAAGAUUGCAUUUAGGGAAUUAUCUCAGUAUAUGUUUUAAUUUUUAGGUUCCAAUUUUAUACUAUGAAAGGUUCAAUGCAACCACAUAUAAAGGCGACAUCAUUCCUACGCCACUGUGGCUGUAAAUCUAUUUCCCAAGAGCUUUGUCUUUGGCACUUGUUCAUGAAAAUCCAAACUUUUUAGCUGCUCCAUUUAAGGGGAAAAGUGCUUAAAAAGUCCUAAACCUUUUCAUGAACAAGUGCCAAAGACAAAGCCAGAACAUAAAUAACAUUCGCCUCACCAGAAGUCACCCUCUUUAAUACCAAUCAGCUUUCAAUCAGAGAUGCUGAUUUACCUUUAGAUUCCUUGAAAGCAAAAACCUGCAAACGCAAAAAGAAAUCUAGCUCUGAAUUCUGAACAUCUGUUCGGUGUCUUCAUCGAAACUGGAGCGAAUAACAUAUCGUAGAAGUACAAUGAUGCAGAGGAGAAUCAAUUGCUUGAAGCAUGAGCAGUUAAAUCACUACGCUCCAUCUUAUUUCGAAACUAGAGACAUCGCCCAUCCGUAUCAGGGACUUUAUAAUUAUCGAAAGUGAAAAAUCGCUCAAGGCAAGGUGAGAACUUCUUAUGUCAAUUCCAUCAAUUAACGACAAUCACAAUAUGUUUUGAAUAAUCAUAAGACUGGAAGAUUCCGAUGAACUUGGGUAGCUGUAGUUGAUUAACGUAAAUUACUCUGCUUGACUGAUGUAAUAGUAAAUAAGUUUACAGAAGUCCAUCGAUUGCUUAUAAGACUCCCUCAAAAACAACGACCAUCAAUGAUCCUAGAGAAAUAGGCAAAGGAGAAAAGACUUCAUAAGUUGGAUGUUCUUAUCAAAGGCUAGGGCUGCUUCUUGGAAGAGGCCUUCAUUAGCAAACUCGCUUUUAAAAGUAAGCCCGAAGCACAAAUCGACCAUUCCAAAUAAUUUCUUUUUUGAAAUGAUGAUGAUAUUAUGGCAAAUAACCACAAGAGAAAGUCCGAAUUUAGAGGUUGAAUUUCCUACGGACGUAACCGAGUCAAAUUACCAUGAAUGCCAAAAAAAAAAAAAAAUGUAAAGGCUCUAUUUGAAUCUCGGUCAAUAAAUAUCUCUCUCUUUUUUUUUCUUUUUUUUUUUAGUAAAGAUAAAUAUCUCUUUUUUUUAAUCUUAUAACAACUGCUUUUCAUCGAUUGUGCUUCUUCGUCCAAAAACUAUCUGGAGAAAUGCAAAGGUCAGUAACUAGACCUCAUAAAAAUUGGACCCGAAAAGAAGAGGGUUGAAAUUGACAUAUGUCUGCCAUUACUGGAUAGUUUUCAGAGCAAAACACGCAUCAUUACACACCAAAAACGAUAAUAAGCACAAUCUCAAACAAACCUUACUCUAGCUGGAUAGUUUUCACAAACUUAGAUUCCAAGCAAAACACAACCUACAGUGCUUAUCGGUGCCAUUCUUAUUUUAAGACAAAGGCAAUACUCAAAACUAUGCUUCACAAAGAACUCGAUAAUGUUGACUACAUUAAACAUCAAGAAUUAGAUGACAGCGAGAUUCAAUGAUUAGUUUGAUAGAAUUAAGACCUUCCUCUGUACUUCAUUAUAGAAACUACACUAAAAAAUUAGAUUAGAGCGAGAUUUAAUGCUUAGAUUACCGAACGAGUAGAGAGUUCUCCCAACAGACCAACUGUUAAUCCUCUCAAAAGUAGGGAGUUUAUCAUGUAUUACUAACAAAGAAUUAAAGCCCAAUCUUGGCAAAUUAGGGGGGAACCACACAAGUCUGUGGCAGUCAACAUCAGCAUUCUUGUUUCUGAUAAUUUCCCAAGCGGUAAAAGAGUCAAGGCAAUCAGUUGAGGAUGCUGUGCAUACAACAUGCUCUGCAGCCGAGGAAUUAGGAAAAUUCACGCCACAAACAGAAGCUUGGGUGGAAACCAACUCUCUGGACCUAGCAGCUGGCCACUUCCAAUGAGAAUUACGAAUUACAGCAUAUACUUUGGCCUGCAGAGGAAGAGAAGAUUCGUAAGUUAUUCUCCUUGAGAAAUGAUUCCAGCGAGAUCCCAGCAUGGUGUCACAAAUUAUACCAAGAGAAAUAUCACCUCCAUUACCCAGUAUAUAUCGAAUGCAGGAUUUCAAAAAAUUCCUGACUUUAAGUAACUUCGUUCAAGCAUAAGUAGCAUCUGGUUUAUGUCAAGAUGAUAGUAUAGAGUCAGGCAAAACAUAGAGACCAACCUCAACAAAAUACUCCACAGACACUUUAAAAUACAAGCAAGAUUUCACAGAUCCAGUCUUCGAAUGCCAGGGCCUCCAAACUGCUUAGGAGGACACACGGGGUCCCAUCUAACUUUUGCUCCCUCUUUAUAAUCAGGAUCUCCCUUCCAAAGGAAAGCUCUACACUUUCGCUCAACCAUUUCACAAAAUCUUGGGUAAAAAAAAGGGUUGACACUAGUAGUUAACCAAAAUACGAAUAACAAAUUUAAUAAGCUGAAGUUCGCUGGCAUAUGAGCAGCUUUUAACUGUCCAAGCAUUAAAUAUUGUUGUAAAUUGAUGAUUUUAUGAGAGGCUUAUAGUCCUUGUCUUAAAGUCUUCCAAACAAUCCACAAUUACAAGAAGAAAGAACCAAACAAGAACAUAGGGUUGGCUGAUUGGUCAUGUGAUUGAUUUGAUUGCUGUGUGUUAGAAAAAUACAUUUUUCAAAAGCUUAAACUAUUAGGAAACUUGUGUAGAACUGAUCCCUUCCACACGCACAACAGAAUGUGGAUGUAAUCACAUCAAUGAGAUAACCAGGGAAAUGAUAACAAGCAACAUGACAGACAAGAAAUUUUAAGCCAUUGACAUGUGCUUUAAUCAAAUGCUAAGAAGUGAACAAGUAGAAUGCAGACAAUUUGUUGGAAAUUUAACAAAACAAGUAGAAUGCUAAUCCUUCGGAAUAGAUUCUUUCUAGAUUCUGAUUGUACCCCAUGAUCAUUACCCGCCCCUUAAAUAGCUAGCCAAAAGAAGUAGCAGAAACAAAUCUACUUACCCUUUAAACUUUGCCAACCAGCAACUCCAGAGUCCAGGGUUACACAUCUUUGAUUCCAUGAAGCUGAAUAUGAAUAGUUAUCAAAAUGAACAAUGGUAUCCAGUUUCAUUUCUGUCUGUACUCAAACUGACUAAACCAUCCCUUAAUCUUGGAUGGUAAGUAAAAUGCUGGAAUACAAGGCUUGAGGCGCAAUAAAUCUGUUUCCCCCAUAGAUUCCGACGUGCGUUGCAGUAUGCUCAGAAAUGAGAAGAUUGCAUGUGUGGGAAUAAGUACUUUGUAUUGGCAAAUUUAGAUUGAAAGUUAAAUACCAAGUUCCUUCCUAUUCUGGUGAAUGCUGCAGAAGUAAUUUUUGCAUAUCGAAAUCAGAGAUAUAAAGGAAAAUUGACAGGCACAUUCCCCAACUUAGUGGAUGCGUUCAAAUGGAAUUUCCAGAGUAAAACAAGUAAGUGGAUAUAAAGCACCUAACUAUCAUUAACAUGACAUGAACUUGCUCUAUCCAUCUUGAAGUUCCGAGCUACACUUUUUCAAUGUCAUACAACUUUCAAACAUUUUCAAAACUUGCCUUUGCUAUUUAUUUAUCAGAUAAAUUAUGUCCACUGAAUUCGAGGACGGGAUCUGCCUCCAUCCUAAUCGGACGACGGUCCAUGUAGCCAACUUGGGUUGACUCCCAUUUUCUUUCAACCAAAUCCAUCCUGAAUAAAUAGGGGCCUUAUGAACAAGUCUGCUUGACAAGAGCGAUAUGAUGAUUAUUUGGGUACAUUUGUAUUGGAAAAGUCAACAAAGGAUAUCAGUUGCUUUAUGUCUGAAUUCAUAUAGAAGUUUCCCAGUCUUCACCGCCUCGAUGCUUAAGAUCACGCGAAAGACUGCCUUCUUUUUCUAGAAGCCUAGCCCCUGGGGGAAGGAAAAGGAGACAAAAUUGAUUAAGCUGCCAGAUUAACUUAAUGGAUUAAAUAAUUGAUAUAUAGGAAAUUUUGUACGUCCGUGUAAUUCAAAUUUUCCGUACCAUGGGAUGCCAAUAAUUCUAUGAUUAAUUAGGUAAUUCAACCAAGUUUCUUUUAAUUAGACCGUUAUCUAACUCAUAAGAACAGUAGAGUACUUCAUAAAAUUUAGAUUUUACCUAGAGAAGGUAGUUUUCUCGUUGUCAAGAGAAAAAUAUCAUUCAUGUCAACAAAUCACCUCACGGUUUCUUAGAGUGGUGAGAGCUAUGGUAUAAUAUGUUAGGGGUAAAUGAUUAUAUUUUUGUGUUUUAAGUUCCCUAUAAUUACACUUUCCAUCCUCUCGUUUAAAAAAUUGUACUUUGCAUUCUUUAUUUCAAAAGUAUUCUAGAACUUAGGUCCAGAGAUAUUAAAAAACUCGAUACUUUACAUGGUCUAACUAAAAUCAUGUGAACUGUUGGUGUCUGGCAUUCGAAUUUUCUUCUUAGGAGAGGCUUCUAAAAAAUCUGGCUUUUCAAGACACAUGGUAGCUUCUGAAGAACUUCCUAAUUAGCUGCGUGUAUUGCACACUUCAAAUCUUUGACUUAAUGGCCAUUUCUUCCAUGGUGUCAAGUAUUUUUCUGCCAGAAAAGAAAGAAGAAAAAAAUUGUGACAAACACGUGAAUAGUCUAAUGUUUCAUUAACGAGACCACGAGCAUUGUAGUUUAGAUACACACGCGUCACAUUUUUCUGAUGUUGAAUAAUCCUCAACAAGAGAGUUUCUGUCGAGUAGUUAGGUGUAAGAAUUUCAACAUCUCUAAAUCUUCUGAGAACGACAAUAGGUAUCAACAAGAUGAAACUAGAAAUCUAUAAGUUAAGUGGCACAAGAAACCCAUAAAAAAUAGAGCGGGAUAAUGGAGGAUAAUGCUAGGAUACCUAUCACUCGUUUACCAAUUUGUUAAAGUGAUGUGAUGAAUUUUUAUCGGCAAUGAAUAUGACCCCACUUUAUUCAUUUUGUUUAAAGAUCGAAGUGUUUUAUAUCAUAUCAAUACUAUAGCGCAUGCACAUCGGACAAAUGCGAGGUUAAUAAGUGUGUACACACACACAGAUUGGUUUUUUGUCAAUUUUUUUUUUUUUUAUCAUGUGUUUUUUUCCGUGUCAAGGAUUGUCAAGUGCAUAAAAAUUGAUAGUUUUAAGAUAAUUACAUAAAAAUGAACUUGGAGGUGAAAGGAGGCAAAGGGCAGAAUUAUAAGACUACUUUCCCCUUUUUAUAUUCAACGAACUGGUCAACGAUUCCACUUUCAUGUAUUAGACUAGAACGGGGUUUACAGAGCUUUCAUAUAGGUUGAUCUUCUAGGGUUUUUAUUGUGUCCUUACCGGGGGAACGAGAUCCUUUACCCCUGUCUGUGUCCCCGUAAUUUGAUAAUUAGUAUCUCGCUUAUCUUAAUCACUAUUUCAUGUGAAUAUGGAUAAUUGUGGAAUUCGUGACCAAAUAUAUUAGCACUUUAGAGUUACCGACACCCCAAUAGAGACAUCGAGUGCGAUAGAGUAUCUUUUUAUACAUACGCAACCAUCAAUUGAACAAUAUACAAAAUUUUCUCAUACUUUUUAUUCUGCUUUCAUUUCUCGCAAUGAUACCUAAUCAUACAAAGAUUUUGCAAUAGAAGAAAAACCAAACAGACCCAAAUAAAUCACUUUCAGAAACAAUCUGCUGCAUUUAUCAUUAGGAUUUAUCUAAGUAACAGUGCUACCAUAAGAACUUAUUAUCUGGAUCUCGUGAAUACAAUGAGCGCAAGUAAGCACAUGUCUUCCCAAUUCCAUGCUGUAAGAAUACCAAUUCACCAUGUUAAAAUCAUAUUAAAAUAUGGCCAAGUUUCUCAAGUUAUCUCCUUUUCAAAAUUGUAUUUAUUGUUUUCAACAUAGUUUAAAGGACACGAGAUUGAACUUUGAAGUGGGCAAAAUUGCUUCGUAAGUUGGAUUUUCUUGUCAAAGACGUAGUAGGGCUACUUCUUGGAACAGGUCUUCAUUGGCAAACUUGCUUUUUAAAAAAGUAAGCACAGCUGCACAAGCACAAACUCCCUCGACGAUUCCAUGAGGACGAAAUGACGAAUAACUGCACGAAGAAGGCCGAAUUUCGGAGGCUGAAUUUCAUGCGGAUGUAACUAAAUGAAAUUAAAAUUAACCAAGAAAAAGAAAAGAGUAGAAUGAGGUAAAAUCCCACUUUGAAUCUUGUAGUUAAAUAAGUUUUUACUUUCCUACUCUUAGAGCAACUCCCUUUCAUGGAUUGGGGUUCUUCCUCAAAAACUAUUUGAAAAAAUGCGAAGGCCAGUAAUAUAGAAAUCGGACCUUCUAAAUAAUUGGACCCUAAACAAGAGAUUGAAGUUGACAUUUGUCUGCCAUCACAGCUGAGAGAUGACAUAGAGCAAAACAUGCAACUCUACACACCAAAGGGCAACAAUCAGCACAAACUCAAGCAAACCGUACUCUUAGCUGGAUAGUUUUCACAAAGUUAGAUUCCAAGCAACACACAACCUACGAUGCUCAUCAGUGCCGAUCUUAUUUUAAGACCAAGACAACUCUCAAAACUAUUCCUAACAUAACUUGAUAAUUUUGAUGUCAUUAAACAUCAAGAAUUAGAUGACAAUGAGAUUCGGUAAUUAGUUUGACAGAACAAAGCUGCAGUACCUUGCUCCGUAGUCCAUUAGAAAAACUACACUCAAGAAAUAGAUGACAGCAAGAUUCAAUGCUUAGAUUACAGAACAAGCAGAGAGAUCUAGUAUUCCCAACAGCCCAACUGUUAAUCCUCUCAAAAGUAGGGAGUUUAUCAUGUCUUAACCAAGAUAUAAAGCCAAAUCUAGCAACACUAGGGGAGAACCCCGCAGGUUUGUGCCAGUCAACAUUAGCACCCUUGUUUCGAACAAUCUCCCAAGCAACAAAAGAGUUAAGGCAACCAUUUGAGGAAGCCAGGCAUCCAAAUUUGCCCGCAGCUGAGGAAUUAGGAAAAAUCACACUACAAACUGCACCUUGGACAAUAACCAACUCUUUAGACCUAGCAGUGGGCCACUUCCAAUGAGAGUUACCAAAUACAGCAGACAAUUUUGGCCUGCAUAGGAAGAGAAGAGUCGUAAGUUAUUCUCCUUGAGAAAUGAUUCUGGCAAGAUCCCAGAAUGAUGCCACAUAUCAUACCAAAGAGAAAUACUAACAUAUAUCUAAUAUGGCAUUCCAAAAUUUUCCCUGACCGUUAACAACUUCUUCCAGGCAUAAUGAGAAGCAUCUGGUUUACAGUCAAGAUGAUGCCUAUACAGCCAGGCAAAAUACAGAGACCCACAUCUCAACAAAAUACUGCACAGGCACUUCAAAAUAUAAGCAAGAUUUCCUAUAUCCAGUCUUUGAAUGCCAAGGCCUCCAAACUACUUAGGAGGACAGACAGUGUCCCAUCUAACUUUUGUUCCCUCUUAAGCAUCAGGAUCUCUCCCUUCCAAAGGAAAGCUCUACACUUCUGCUCAACCAUAUCAGAAACUUUCUUGGACAACAAAAAGAGUUGACACUAAUGGUUAACCACAUUAUGAAUAAUAGAUUUAAUAAGCUGAAGUUCGCCAUCAUAUAUGCGGCUUUUAACUGUCCAAGCUUAAAAUAUUUUUGGAAUAUGAUGAUUUUAUGAGAUUGUCUGAAAGUCUUCCCAACCAUCCAAAAUAUCUAGAAGAAAGAACCAAACAAGAACAUAGGGUUGGCUGAUUGGUCAUACUGUUUGAUUUGAUUGCUGCAUGUUAGACAGAUGCAUUUCUUAAAAGCUUAAGUUGUUAGGAAACAUGCCAAACAACGUAUAUAUAAUGGACUCCCCUUGUGUAGAACCGAUCCCUUACACAAGCACUACAUAAUGUGGAUGUAAUUGCAUCAAUGGAAUAACUGGGGGAAUGAUAACUAACAAAAUAAUAGACGAGGAAUUUUGAACCACCGACAUGUGCUUUAAUACAAUGCUAGAAAUGAACAAGUAGAAUGCGGACAAUUUGCUAAUACUUCAGAAGAGAUUCUUCCCAGAUUCUGAUUAUACCCAUGAUAAUUACCCACCUCCUAAACAGCCAGUCAAGAAAUAGCAGAAACAAAUCUACUCACCCUGACUUUGCCAGCCAGCAACUCCAGAGUCCAGGGCUAUGCACUUUUGAUUCCAUGAAGCAGAAUAUGAAUAGUCAUCAAAAUGAACAAAGGGCAAAGAUUUCAUUGAGUGCUAUCCAGUCCACGAAAUGCCUUCAUUGCUGGAAUGGAAGGGUUGAAGGGCAAUAAAUCCAUUUCCCCCAUAGAUUUUAAUGUGUAUAACAGUUUGCUCAGAAAUGAGAAGAUUGUGAGUGUGGGAAUAAGUACUUUGCAUCGGUAAAUGCAGACAGAAAGUUAAAACCGAGUUCAUUCCACUUCUGGCAAAUGCUACAAAAGAAAUUUUUGCAUGUCAGAAUCAGAGAAAUAAGGGAAAUUAGUCAGGUAAAUUCCACGACUUAGUAAAUGUGUUCAAAUGGAGGUUGAGGAUUUAAAGCAUCUAACUGGCAUUAACACGAAAAGAACUUGUUUUAUCCAUCUGAAGUUCUGAGCUACACUUUUUCAAGGAGACGAAACUUUCAAACAUUUUCAAACUUGUCUUUGCUAUUAAUUAUGUCCAGACUUUAGAUUCAUCUAAUGGAUUGAACAUCAGGAUAAAACAGACACUUACUGAACAGGGAAAGAUAACAUAUGUACACACCUAUCCCCGUGAGUAAUUUGAGAACCAACUAAUCACGAAAAAGUCCAGAUCUUAAGAACAGAGCCUGCAGUAGCAUGUCCCUUCUUCUCUACAACAAGGAGCAAUCUCACAUCCAAGGUCCCCCUUCAGCAUCUUCUCCCAGGCUAAAUACCGGUGAGGCAAUGGUGAAGGAAAGGGUAUAUAGACCUUUCUAUAGGUCACUGGGUCAUACCAACAAACUUCACCCAUGGAAUUCCAAUGUCAUCUGAAAGGGAAGCAAGAUUUAGAGAAUCGAUGAAUGAGAGAGAGCAUAGUGAUGACCAAAGAAUUGGUUGAUGAGUAAGAGAACUGCUAAUAAGCUGAGAAUUCCAAAUUCAAAUGCGACAGUCUGUUAAUAAGAUCCCAGAUUUUUAUUUCAUUUUUGCUGGCUCGAAGAUAUCAUGGGAAGCAGUCCAAUGGAUGGGGAACCGAUGCAGAAUCUGAGAAGGUAACUAUGAGUAGAAGAGUAGAGGAGUAGUAAAUGGCAAGAUCAAUACCUUGAUUUUAAUUAAAUCUUCAUGAGAUGGAGACGGUGAUGUAGGUGAGGACAACGAAGUGGAGAGGCAAAGCAUAGGUAGGUGAUUGAGGUGUAGACCACAUGGGGAAGGAGAUGAUGAAAGAGGUAUUUUUUACACCCCUAAGUUAUGCCCAAAAGCCAUCUGCAAAAGAUUAAGACACUUAUUAAGUACACAUAUAAUUUAGGAUUACAAUUAGGGAAUUAUCUCAGUACAAGUUUUACUUUUAGGUCCAAAUUUUAUAACUAUGAAAGUUUUAAUGCAACCACGCAUAAGAGUAACAUCAUUUCUACCGAGGUGUGACUGUAAAUCUAUUUCCCAAGAGCUGCCGUAAACAAGUCCAUCCUUCACAUAGCUGAAAUGGAGUGGCUAUAAGUCUUGGACAUGUUAUGUAUAUAUAUCCAAGACAAAGCGAACUUAAAUAACAUUCGCCUCACCAGAAGUUGUCUGCUGUGAUACCAAUCAGCUUUUCACUCGGAGAUGAUGAUUUACAUGCAGAUUGCUUGAAUAUAGUAACCUGCAAAUGCAAAAAGAAACCUAGCCAUGAAUUCUGAACAUCUGUCCCGAGUCUUCAUCAAAUGGGGAGGGAAUAACAUAUCCUAGAAGUACAAUGAUGCAUAAGACAAUCAAUUCCUUGAACCAUAAGCAGUUAAAUCUCAAUGCUCAAUCAUAUAUUUUGAAGCUAGAGACUUCGCCCAUCCAUUGGCAAGGAUUUUAUAAUUAUCGAAAGUGCAAGAGGGCUCGAGGCAAAGUGAGAACUUUUUCACGUAGCAUGCAUAGGAAGUACUAAUUCUAUCAAUUAAUGACAAUCUGCAUAUGUUUUGAAUAAUCAUAAGACUGGAAGAUUCCAAGUCACGUAGCCGUAAUUGAUUAACACCUAUUACUCUGCAUAUAUACUCUAAGUUCACAAAACUACAUAGAAUGUGUAUAAGACUCCCUUAACAACAACCAUCUUCUAUAUGGGAUCCAAAAAUAGUAUGUAGAGAUUGACGGUGAUUUAAAAGACCUUGUUUUGCUCUGCCCAGUCCUUUGACUAUGAUGAGUAUGAAACAAGAUGCCAGACAUAUGCAGACACGCCUUCAGGAAAUUUAAUCACUGAUAAAAAGGAACAGAUCAAGGUUCCAAUACAUUGAGAGCCACAGCACCUCCAGGCUUUAAAAGUCGAAAACAUGUAAAUAUCCGCAUCGCUCAAAACAGUCAACUUUCCCUUCAAUGGUCCUGAAUAAAUAGGCAAAGGAGAAAAGGCUUCAUAAGUUGGAUUUUCUUGUCAAAGACGUAGGGCUGCUUCUUGGAAGAGGUCUUCAUUGGCAAACUUGCUUUUUUAAAAGUAAGCCCAAGAACAAAUACCACCAACCAUCCCAAAUAAAUUCUUUAUUGGAAUGCUGGUAUCAUGGCGAAUAACUACAAGAAAUAGUUCAAAUUUGGAGGAGAAACGAUUAAGUGACUGUUCUUAAUCUACUAUUAGAUUAACAGACUGUUUUUUACCACCAAAAAAAAAAAAAAAAACAAAACAAAACAAAUAAUUGUAAAUUGUUGUAAGAUCCACUUCUUUAGGAAUUUGUAACUCAUAACAUGCCGUUACUUUGGUAGUAGUCCAAAGACCAUUACACUAGCAAAGCCCAAUUUGGAGGUGAUAUUUCCUACGGACAUAACUAAGCGAAAUUACCAUGAAUGCUCAAAAAAAAAAAAAAAACUAUCUUACUAGUGGGAUAGUUUUUGCAAAGUUCUGUUCCAAGCAAGACAUAACCUACGAUGCUUAUAAGUGCCAAUCUUGUUUUACAGACCAAGACAACUCUCAAAAUUAUGCUUAAAAAAGAACCUGAUAAUUCUGAUUAUAUUAAACUUCAAGAAUAAGAUGACAGUGAGAUUCAAUGAUUUAGUUUGACAGAACAAAGCUGCACUACCUUGCUCCACAGUUGAUUAAAGAAACUACACUUAAAAAAGAGAUGACACCAAGAUAUAGUGCUUAGAUUACAGAACCAGCAAAAAAAUCUAGUAUUCCCAACAGACCAACUGUUAAUCCUCUGAAAAGUGGGAAGUUUAUCAUGUAUUACCAACCAAGAAAUAAGGCCAAACCUGGCACAUUAGGGGAGCACUCUCAUUUCUGACAAUUUGUUGAGCAACGAAAAGGCAACCAUUUGAAGAAGCUGUGCAUAUGACUCUUUCUGCAGCUGAGGAAAUAGGAAAAAUCACACCACAAACUGCAGCUUAGGUGGAAACCAACUCUUCAGACCUAGCAGCUGGCGACUUCCAAUGAGAGUUACGAAUUACAGCAGAUCCUUUGGCCUGCAGAGGAAGAGAAGAGUCAUGAAUCAUUCUCCCUGAGAAAUGAUUCCGGCAAGGUCCCAGCAUGAUAUGCCGAAUCAUACCAAGAGAUAUUAUCUCCAUACCCACUAUGUAUCUAAUGUGUUCCAAGCAUAAGUAGCAUCUGGUUAACAAUCAAGAUGAUAGCUAUAGAGCCAGGCAAAACAUAGAGAUCCACACCUCAAGAAAAUACUCUACAGACUGUUCAGAACACAAGCAAGAUUUUACAAAUCCAGUCUUCCAAUGCCAAGGCCGCCAAACUGCUUAGGAAGACAAACAGUGUCCCAUCUAAGUUUUGCUCCCUCUUUAGUAUCAGGAUCUCCCUUCCAAAAGAAAGCUCUACACAUUUAGUAAACCGUAUUGAUAACUUUCUUGAGCAACGAAAGAGUUGAUUCUAAUAGUUAACCAGACUGAACAACGAAUUUAAUAAGCCAUAGUCCCCCAGCAUAUGGGAGUUUUUUAGGGCCCGUUUGUUUAUGUUUCUUUUUUCUGUUUUUAAACACUUUUUAUGUUUUUUUGUUCUUUUGUUCCUAAGAAACAGAAACAAGAAACACUUGUUUCUGAAACACUUUUGAGAAACACUUUUUUUUUUUCUUUUUUCUCUUAUUUUCUUGUUCUUUUUUCUUUUGGCCGGUCGCCGGCCCCCGGCGAGGCCGAGGCUCGCCGGCCGCUGGGCGAGGUCGGCCUCGCCGGAUCUGUGCGAGCUCGCCCAGCCAUGGCGAGGCCGACCUCGCGCCUUUUUAUGUAAACUAGAAUCACGUUGUUCCUAUAUCGAUCGGACGUUCGCCUGCUCCCGGCGAGCCUCGGCCUCGCUGGAUCUGGGCGAGUCGGCGUCGCCUGGCGGUGGCCCGGCGAGGCCGCGCCUCGCCCCGCAGCUGGGCGAGGUCGGCCAAAAGAAGAAAAAUGAAAAAAUGAAAAAGAAAAAAGAAAAAAAGGAAACAUAAAAAAAAAAUAAAAAAAUUAUCCAAAUUUACCAAACAUGUUUCUGUUUAUUUUUUAUUCCCAGAACAAGUUUAGCAAACGCGUUUUUUUGUUCAAAAAUUGUUCCCCGGAACAGAAACACUUUUUCUUAUUUCUGUUCCCUGGAACAAUUUUUAAACAGAAAUGCAAACAAACGCAUCCUUAACUUUCCAAGCUUUAGCGCUUGUUGCAAUUCGAUCAUUUUAUGACUGGCCUAUAGCCCUUCUCUGAAAUUCAUCCAGACGAUCCAAAAUUACAAGAAGUAAAAACCAAACAAGAACCUAGGGUUGGCAGAUUGAUCAUGCUGCUUGAUAUGAUCCCUGUACGAAUUUCCUAAAAGCUUGAGUUGUUAGAAAACUUGCCAAAAAAUGUAUGUAUAAUGUACAACUCAACACUCCUCCUCGGGUAGAACCUAUCCCUUAACACAUGAGAGAAUGUGGACAUAAUCACAUAAAUGAAAUACCCAGGGAACAUGAUAACAGACAACAAUACAGACAUUGACAUGUCCCCUAAUACAAUUCUAUAUAUGAACAGGUAGAAUGCAGACAAUUUGGCAGAAAUUUUAUAAUAACAAGUACAAUGCAGAGAAUUUGCUAAUCCUUCAGAAGAGACUCUUUCUAGAUUCUGAUUACACCCCAUGAUCAUAACCCGCAUCCUGCAAACAGCCUGUCAAAAGAAAUAGUGGAAAAAAACCUACUCACCCUUUAAACUUUGCCAACCAGCAACUGCAGCGCUAUGCAACUUUGAUUCCAGGAAGCAGACUAGAAAUAGUUAUCAAAAUGAACAACAAGCAAAGAUUUCAUUGUGUGCUGUCCAGGAUGAGAAAUGCCUUCAUUUGCAUCUGCACUUAAACCGACUAAACCAUUCCCAAAUCUUGGAUGGUGAGUAAACUGCUGGAAUGGAAGGGUUGAGGCACAAUAAAUCUGUUUCCCACAUAGAUCUUGAUGUGCAUCACAGUAUGCUCAGAAAUAAAGAUCGCAGGUGUGGGAAUAAGUAUGUUGUAUUUGUAAAUGCAAACUGAAAGUUAAUACUGAGUUUCUUGCACUUCUGGUGAACGCUGCAAAAGUAAUUUUCGCAUAUCAGAAUUAGAUAUAAGGAACAGUAGUCAAAUACGUUGCACAACUUAGUAAAUUUGUUCAAAUGAAGUCUCCAGACUAAAACAGGAAACGAAAUUUAAAGCACCGAUCUGCCAUUAACGUGACAUGAACUUGCUCUAUUCAUCUGAAGUUCUGAACCACUCCUUUCCAAUGUGAUGCAACUUUCAAACAUUUUUAAACUCAUCUUUGCUAUUUACAUAUCACACAAGUUAAGUCCAGGCUUCACAUUCAUCUAGUGGAUUGCACUUUAAGGAAUCACAGACACUUAUCGAAGGGGGAAAGAGAACAUACCUAUCCUCAUGAGAAAUUCGAGAACCAAGAGAUCAUGGAAAAGUUUGCACAAAAGUCGAGAUCUUAACAAAAAAGCCUGCAGUGGCAUGUCCCUUCGACCCUACAAUGAGAAGCAGACUCACGUCCAAGGUCCCUUCAGCAACUUCUCCUAGACUUACUGGUAAGGCGAUGGUGAAGGAAGGGUAAAUAGACCUUUCCAUAGGUCACUGAGUAAAUUCACCAAUUGAACUCCAAUGAAAUCUGCAACGCAAACAAGACUGAGAGAAUAUUGGCGAAUGAGACAGAGCACAGCGAUAACAAACGAAUUGAAUGAGCAUACAACAAACAGCUAGUGUGCGAAAAAUAACCUGAGAAAUCCAAAUUCAAACNNNNNNNNNNNNNNNNNNNNNNNNNNNNNNNNNNNNNNNNNNNNNNNNNNNNNNNNNNNNNNNNNNNNNNNNNNNNNNNNNNNNNNNNNNNNNNNNNNNNAAUCUGGGUAGACUUCAAGUAGGAGAGUAGAGCAGGAGAAGGAAACGGCGGCAUGAUUCCUGAUUUUGACGAGAGCAAAUGCACGUCCGGAGUCAUGUCGCGAGAAUGACUUUGGAAGAAGGCAUUCAGACAAUUCCAACGCCAUCUCCGGAGGAACCGUAGAGGGUUCAUCGCACCCACCACGAUCACAGCUACUAAGCAGAGAGGGCACCAAAGCGAACAAUCCCUCAAGUAAUAUUCGAGUCCAAAUCCUUUUAAGUAAUUGGCAUGCAAUUCAACCUAAUUUCUGGGAUUUCGCGGAUGAGGGGCCAAUAGCAGCCGGUCCCUUUCUUGCAUCGCUCCUCCAGAAUCUCACAAAUUUCGAUACGGAGUCGUAAUAGGGAGGGAGGGAGGUCAUCCAGAGGCAACUCCCUCAGCUUCGGGCAAUUCUGGAUAGUUAAGCUCUGGAGAGACGAAGGGAGAUUGCUAGACAGUCUUUCCACGUUUUCCAUAUUAAUGAUCCACAGACGGUGCAAAGAGGGAAGGGGUGGAAGCGCAAGAUCCUCCUCCUUCCCCACUCCUCCAGUGUAGCCGUCGAUCCACAGAUCUUGAAGGGAGGUGAGGGGGGUAAGCCACUCCUCAACCGGCUGCUUCAUAUUCCCGCGUAUCUUUACCCAGAGUACUCGUAGCUGGGGUGGCAAUCCUCCGUCGGGAAACGGCAUAACGUCACAACUAAAAUCAUGGAGACAUGUGAGUUGAUUCAACUGAUUAGGUAACGCUUUUAUAUUCGGACAAUCCUCAAGAUAAAAAGUCGAGAUGCUUGGAGGAAGAGGAGGAAAGCACUCUAGCUCCAGAGCAGGACAGCUUCUCAAUUUCAAGGAAGUGAGAUGGGACAGUGUGUGCAGGCCUUGAGGUAAGCUUCUCAAAUUUUUGCAAUUCCAAAUUUCAAUCACUUGAAGUGACUGACGACCAUCUAGAAUUAUCUCCGCGAGCGACUUCACUCCCGGGCACCCAUCAAUUACAAGUCUCUUGAGGGUCACAGGUAAAAAUCUACCCUCACUAAAUGGAAAUGCUAGUAGAGACUUGCAUCCGUAGAUUAUUAAUUCUUGUAGACAAGACGUCAUGCCAACAUGGUUAAUGCUGCUGCUUGGUCCUUCCAGAUGAAUACUUAAUCCAGUGGGUAGAGAUUGUGACAUAUCAUAGCCACUGAUAUUUGAUGAUAUCAUUGAUGUCCAUAUGCCUGUUUCUAGAAAGGACACCAGUUUUGGACAGCAAUUGAUUUGCAAGUAUCUAAGAGAGGAGAGGGUGUGCAUCUUGCUUGGGAGCUUCUCUAAAUUGAGGCAAUAUCGCAAGUGGAUAGUUUCAAGUCUGCUGGGCAGCUUUAUAUCUCCUUCUCCAACCACAAAAGACAUUAAUUUAGGACAAUCCCAUACAUAUAAGCUUUUUAGACAACCAAGCUUCUCAACUACAUCUCUGUCUUCCCACAAGAACAUUAACUUGUUACAAUCUCUCAUCUCCAACUUCUCUAGUUUGAUCAAGAAGCUUGUAAACUCACGAUUUAAGCAAGUCAAUUCAGCAGUUUUUUUUAUGACAAGAGUGGUUAGAGAUGUCAGGUUUACCAAACUCUUCAACACCCCCUCAUUACAACCUUCAAAUUCUAACUCAUUGAGAGAUGGAAGGCUAAUAAUGUCAGAGUGCGAGGCAUCCAUACGCGGACAGGAGUUUAUUUCAAGCUUUAUGAGGGAGCUUAGUUCACUAGGCAAUCUUUUUAUCAACAUAGGACAAUCCCAAAGAAUGAGAUGCUCAAGACUGGGGAAUACAACUCCUCCUUCAGAGCCAACACAAUGAGACCAGUCCUCCCACAAUGGCAUGUUCCUAAAUUCCAAAGUUGUCAAGGAUGGAAAAGGACUUUCGGCUCCAUAAAAUUCAAAACCUAUCCUACGAAUCGCAUCUAGACCUUCGAUGUGCAGUUCUUUCAGCAAAGAUAGCCGCCCAAGUGAUGGUAAUGCUUUGGCCCUACGACACUCGUGUAAAUGUAAAUGCACUAUGUGAACAUGUGAGGGAUUUCCUAACCACGACGUUAAUUCUAUGCCACCAUAGAAGGAUAUCACGAGAUUUUCAACGUUUUGGUGUGGCUGAAGAAAGUCAAGGACCUUUGCUUCAAGCUCUUCAUCCCGGGAAUUUUCAAAAUCUUUACUCCACUGCAAGGUCAACCGACAUAUUCCCUCCUUUGUGAGUAAAUCGACGUCCUUGGCAUCUCCGGCGUCUUGAACCUUAUGCAAAUCAAAGAUGCACAAUUCCUCUCGAAGGUUCUUUAGUUUUUUUAACUCCUUCAACCUCAACUCAGUUUCCGUUCCCACUAUAAACUUGGACAGCAUCUCAAGACCCACCAAAUUAGCUAUAUACAGUGGCACCGCUCUUAGGCUCGGAGUGUCGGUAAUGUCGAGAAAUCUUAUGUUGAUAAGUUUCUCCAUAUCUUCAGGUAAUUCGAUAAGACUUUCACAGCCUCGCAACAUCAAAGUCUCGAGGUUAUACAGUCCAACAAUUGACUUUGGAAGCCUUGCAAUAUUAGUAUAUGAUAGAUUAAGGUGCCUUAGGUGCCUUACAUCACCAAUGCAAUCUGGUACCUCGCUGAUGUUGUAGUGACUUAAUGAAAGCACCCUCAAGUACUUCAAUUUUGACAGCAAGUCACAUAGCACUUUCUGGGACAAAAAGGACCUCUCCCAAGGGUGAGAAGGGUUAGAAUGCUUCCCUAAUGAUAUGAAGCUCCUAAGUCUCUUCAUUUGAUGAUAUAUUUUGAAUCUUUCUGGCACGAUGUGACGACUAGGAAUGAACGAGGCGUGACGGACUAAAGAUGCAUUAUUUUGAUCACCUUCAAACUCAAACUCGCUUGGGCCAUAAUGGGUUGCACCUGCAACUAGCUUUGCUAGGUCAUUCACAAGAUCAUGCAUCAAAAAUCGUGAUCCAUCACUACUCGACUUUUGAAAUAACGAUCUAGAUUCUAGCUCGUUGAAAUAAUUCAAACCUAAAUUCCAACGGUUCUUUCCUCCUUUUCCCUCCAAUAAGCCCUCUGCACUCCACCAAUGAAUCAACUCAUCAUGUUUGAUUUCAUAAUCCUUGGGAAAUAUAGCACAGUACGCGAAACAUCUCCUCAAAUGAGAAGGGAGAUGGAGGUAGCUAAGUUUCAAAGCUGGAAGGAUGUCAUUUCUUCCUUCUGAUAGAUUCCAAAUCUUGCUGUUCAAUAUAUCUUCCCAAUCACGGGGAUUGACUUUAGUGCGUAGCAGCCCGGCCACUGUCUUCACGGCUAAUGGCAAUCCUUUGCAUUUUUCCACUAUUUGGUGACCUAAUGCUUCAAAGCGAGGAUGGUGAUUUGAAUUUCGAAUUCCAAAAGCAUGAAAUGCGAACAAAGUCAUGCAAUCAUCUAAUGACAUUAGUUUGAGAGUUAUCAGUCGAGCAUCGGCCAUUAAAGCAACCUUGCGGUUACGAGUCGUGACAAUGAUCUUGUUUCCUUUUACUCCCGAUUCGAAAGGCUUCAAAAGGACAAUCCAUUCUCCAUAAUUCUCGUUCCAAACAUCGUCUAAAAUGAAAAGAAACUUCUUCCCUGAAAGGAUUUCCUUGAGCUUUUCCUGACACCAAUCCAGGUCUUUAUCUUGACAGGACAAAGUGGAGUUGGUUUUUUGUAGGAUACACUUUGUAAUAGCAUGCACGUCAAAAUCAUCAGAAACACAAACCCAUACUUUCACAUCGAAAUAGUGGGUCACUCCAGCAUCAUUGUAGAUCUGCUGAGCUAGAGUCGUCUUCCCAACACCCCCCAUCCCUACGAUGGCAAUCACUUCUAGAUCCGCACAUGUUCUAUCAUCUUCUUCUCUAACCAGUAAUUUGAGGAUCUCCCUCUUUUCAUCCUCCCUACUAACGAAACAGGGCUCGCGCAGAUUCGUAGUGGGAAUCGGCUUAUCUAACUGGCGGUAUGCUAAUCGCUCCCCCUCGUUCUUUCUCAGGCCCAGACCAUUUUUACGAGCUAUGAUCUCCCCUAAUCGGGCAUCCAGUUCCACCAUCUCAGAUCUCAUUUUAUGGUUGAACAUCAAUGCUCUUGGGCUCAUUGUGAAGCAACAACUGGGAAGAAGGGAAUGCACCUUGCUAGUGCCAAAUUCUGCCUUGAACUUGCUUUUAGUAGAUUCUAUCGUGAACUCUUCAAGCAAGUCUUCAAUGUCGUAGGCCAAGUUCUCGAGAUCUUCAAGCCACGACUUCACGUCAUGAUAGCCAGUGAGUUGUUUGUCCUCUGCAUCAUUCAACACUUCAUUGAUACUCUUCAGCAUCUUCUCCCAUUUCUUAAAUAGCUUAUCAAUCCUCUCACGCUGCGCAAAUUUGGACAGCUCGUGAGAGGCCAACCUCUCGAACAGCACUUGAAGAAAGGCACCAAGAAAGAGCUCUGCGAUGGGCAUGGCUUGGUUUAUGAGUGGCAGAGAUUAAACAAGACUGCCCAGAAGAGUCGAAACAAAGGUAGAGGGCGAAGAGAAAACAAAAGUUAUUCGCUUCAGGACACCAGUAUCAAAUGAUGGUGUGAAGCAAAUGACUUUUCAAGCACUAGAGUGCAGCAAAUGACUUUUCAAGCACUAGAGUGCUCUUUCUUUCUUGGAAGAAGCUGUCGUUGCAUUUCAUCUCGUCUCAUUUGAUCUAAUUUCAUUUGCAUUUCAUCUCAGUCUCAUUUCCACCCCGACGGUUUUCUAUCGAGUCCCGUCAUUUCCCUGUACCACGCCCGGGCAGACCCCGGGGAAGGCGUCGUAGGGAUCAGGGAGGGGCCCCCUUUACCCCCGAGGGGUUGUGGCCGGGGUAACCCCAUGGGGCCGGAAUCUUUUUCGAGGCCCGGAUCCCGGCCUCUACCUGGACUUUCCCAGAGUGGUCAAAGCCUUUUAAGGUCAUGUUUAGGACCUGAUCUAAUUUCAUUUGUGGUGCCUCUAAUUUCAUUGAGCAACUUAGUCAGACAUGGGACCAAGUCUUGGCAUCAUUAAAGCCACCAGAGGCUCAGUAGGGAAAGAAGUGGGCCCGACUCCUACCCAACCUCGAAACUUCUGCUCUAUUAAUGUUCAUCAUUUCUAUCUCGCCACUCACUUCACCCAAUUCCCAAAUGCAACCAUCCAGUAUCCACCACCACCAUGCAUCACAUCGAUCACGCGGCAUCAUGGUUUCACUGAUGCAGCCUCAUGAACCCCGUCCCGUUAUCAAAUAAAGGAGCAGUUAUUACAUAAACUUAAUGUAUGUAAUUUGUAUCAUCAUUAACCACUAUUUCACGUAACACGAGAUCCCCCCAUACUGAAAGUCGCAAAAUUUUCAUUGUCGAUUGCUCAACGAGUGUCCACAAACACUUGAUAACAAAAUCAUUUUUAAAUGAUGAUGAGAAAGAAAAAAAUUGUUACUUUCUCUUCAAUUUUGUGGUUGUCACCUAAAUUUGCUCUCUCAGAUAUAUAUCGGAUUAGAUUAGAUGGAAAUAGCAGGUGGCUAUUAUCGAAUAAUUGCAGACUUCAAGCUUCAAUUUGUCCCCGCCAAUAAUGAUUAUAUUUAUAGCAAAGCUCCUUGUUUUAUUUGGUCCGCAAGGUCAACAAAAAACAUACUUAUUGUUUUGUCCCAAGAAGACAGGAGCUACCUAAUUUCAAUAUGCCCACCAGCCAUUCAAAAGGUGGAAUUAUAUACACACACACUUAUUCAUACCUUAUUACUAUAAUGUGCAUAAAUGUUGCAUUAGCGGUACAAAAUAGCUAAAUCCCAAGAUUGCAGUUUCUGCUAUGGCAUCACAUCAAAAUAAAUAAUCAAUGUGUCCACAGAUCUUUGUUGCCUCUAUGCCUAACAAAGAUCACAGGAAAGAUUGCCUUAUACUUUCUGGAAGUCUAACAGAAUAAUAGCCCCACGGGCCACGACAAAAGGGUAAGCAGAAGCAGACAGGAUUGAUUAACCAUGCGAUUGGCUUAAUGGUUACAUAAUUGACACAUAAGGGAGAAUUGAGUGUCUGUAUUAUUUGAAUUUCUCAAACAACUAGAUGCAAAUGAAUUGGUUGUCGAUUAGAUAUUUCAACCAAGUUUUAAUCCGCUUCUUACCUAACUUAUAAAAAUAGUAGGGUACUUUAUGAAUUUAGAAUUACCUGGGCAAGGUCGUUUUUUCGUUGUCAAGAGAAAAAACAUUUAUGCUAGCAAAAUACCUUUUCCUUUGGAAAGUUACUAAAGAUAAGUAUAGUUAAGGAUAACCUUUUGUGGCUUUCUCUGUGGAAGAUUGGGAACUGUUGAUGUUUAAUGCUCAAAUUUUUCUCGUUAGGAGAAGCUUCCUAAGAAUCUGGCCAUUGAAAUCACAUGGCAGCUUAUGAAGAACCAAUGGUCCUUUCUCCACUGUGAUAAGUCUUUUUGGGGGUAAAAGAGAGAGAGAAGAAAUUUUGACAAAUUUGUGAUGGUCUAAUGUACAAUCAUUGAUGAGGCCACGAGCAUCAUAGUUGAAAUAUACCUGACCAUAGAGGGCACACGGCGGCUUCUGAGGAGCUUCCUAAUUGGCAUUGCGCAUGGCACACUUCAAAACUUUGACUUAAUGGCCCUUUCCCUAUCAUUGUAAAUCUUUUCGAUAUAUAUUGUGACAAAUGAACAGAUGUUCUUUGUGAUUCACUGAUGAGGCCACGAGCAUUGUAGUUGAGAUACAUGCGCGUGGCAUUUGCCUGAUGCUGAAUAAUCCUCAAAGAGAGGGCCACAGUCGAGCAGGUAUACAUGAAAUCUUUUGAAAAGGACGGUGGGUAUUAAACAGGAUUCAAACUAGAAAUUAGCCAUCUCAAGUAAGCUAAUUAGCACAAUGAACCCAACAAAAAUAAAGAGAAACGAUGCAGGAUAAUGCUAGGAUAAUACCACUAGUUUACGAAAUUGGUAAAGUGACACAACAAAUUUUUAAUUACGGUAGAUAUGACUCACUUUAUUAAUUUCAGUUGUAGAUCAAUCAAGUAUUUUUAUAUCAUAUUUACAUUAUUAAAAGCGUGAAAUUAAAAUGAAAAAUGUAUAUUUGCAACCAUGUAUGAUUAAUGUGAAUCUGAAUAUGUGGGUUUAGAUUUUUUUUAUAUUUAUUAUCGUGAUUUUUUUUUUUUUUUUUGGUGCCAAGGAUUGCCAAGUACAUAAAAGUUUACAUUUUAUUUAGACAAUUACGUAAAAUUAAGGAAAAAAAGGUUGAAGGUGGGAGCAGCAAAAGACGAGAGCGGCAUUAGAAGACUACUUUCCCUCAUCUAUGGCCAAUGAAUGGUUCAACUAAUCCCUUUUUAACGUAUUAGCUUAGAAUCGGGCUUACAAAAUUUUCCUUCCGGUAGGUCUUCUAGGAUUUUCGUGCACUUCUUGUGGGGGAUGAGAUCCUUUAUCUCUGUUUGUAUGCUCGUGACUCCGUAAUUAAUAUCUCAUUCAUCGCAACCGUUAAUCCAUGUGAAUAGGGAUAAUCAUAAUACUUCAGUUUUAAUAUAUUUACAAUUGAGAUCAUCCGCGAUAGAGUUAUUAAGCGGCCAACACUUGUUGGUUGUUACCACACCGUCAAUUUUCUUAGCCCGGAAUCCUUCCACAAUCCAAAAUAGUUUUGCUUUUAUUUAUUAAUUUUUUCCUGCAAAUCGAUUGAAUCACUAUGACAUCAUAUCUUAAAAAAAUGCCCAAUAUGGAGGAUUGUGCUUUCAAAAUGACCCGAGGAGUGGACUAGUUUUGGUGUGUGAACACUUCUUUCAGAUACCACUUGAUUGCUAGGUGAAAAAGGAAAAAACAUAACAUUAAUUGUUCAUUGGUCUCGAAAUCAAAUAAUAAAAUUUCAAGGCGGCAAGGUCAAAUAAGAUAGGCUUAUGUUUUAUAAGGAGAAUAGUGUGAUUACCUAACUACAGUCCGUCUAGUACGAGCAUUUUGAUAUAGAGAAGAGAUUUUUCCAUUAAUUUAACCAUCGGUGAAUGUCCACUAUAAGUUUCCAACUAAAUUGAAGCAGAGGCCAUCCUUCUUGCUCACAACCUCAGAAAAGGAUCUGGAGCUCCCAAACAUCAUCAACGAAAACGAUUGCAAAGUUAGUCAUGGAUGCUUUGCUCUACCCUCUCGCCCCUUGUCCUUGGGAGAUUCGGCCCCAGGUCUAUGCUUUCCUCUAACUCCAGGAAAGGCCAAGAUCGAGUGUAACCUGGUCCUCCCAUUUCUCCAACAAAUAAUGUCUUCUUGGAUGGCUCUUUAGAUGAUCACCAAAUGACAUUACUAUUCUAACAAAAAAAGAAAAACAAAAACAAAACCGUGUAUUAAGACAUUUAUUUAAUUGAAGAAUUAUGCGAUGUUUCAAACUUCUCUUAAUUGUUGCAUAUGAUCCAUUUUUUUAAAUGUUCUUUUGCAGUUUGUUGUAUCACUUGAUAUAUCACCCUAGUUUAUCAUUCUUAACGUUAUCUAUCUUUUAAUCAUCCCUACAAAUGGAGAGCGCUGGCUAACCUUGACUGCCGAUCGAUCUAAUACUCUACUCUUUCAUUUUUUUUCCAUGGCUUAAGUAGUUUAUACAUUAAAAUAUUCAUCGCAUUCUUGACGUUGGUUAAUGCAUAGCAAAAUCUAUCAUCCUUCCAACACAAAAUUGUACAUGAGAAAAUUCAUAAGAUUUUCACUUCAAUCGAAUGCUAUUCUAUAAGGUAGUUUACAUUAGGAGUUCGGAAAGGUGGCUUGAUUAUAGAAACAUCAGUAAAUGCCAUAAUUCUUUCAAAGUUUCAAUAUUAAAUGUUAUAUCUUCAAAGUCUUUAUUAUUUCCUAAAAUUGUUAUACUUAAAUGGGGCAAGAUUAAAUGUGAUUCACAAUGGUGACUAAAUCUUUCAUUUUAUCCUUGUUUUCACCGGACAUUUUAUUCCUUACUUAGGUUGAUAAUAUUGGUAAUCUAAUAAAUCCAAAUCUCAACAAGAAAAUGCUAUUCGAGUUCAUGAUGAAUCAUACUCAAGAUUUGUUCAAGUCAGAUUGGUGAUGUGUCACGUGGAUAGUCGACGAUAACUGGACUGUCACAUUAGUAAAUUUAGGCUAAAAUUGACCGAAAUGACUAUAAUGAAAACUUUGGAAAUUCAUUAGGAAAAUUGAAAAAUUUAGGAUUACAUUGGAAUCUGUACAAUAGCCUUCUUUAAAACUAAAUCUGUAAUUUUUUCCUUUAAAACAGUUUUAGCAAAGUGGGCAUCAUAUAACAGUUACGACAAUGAUAUCGUUUUUAUCCUAAUUUUUUUGGAUGAGCUUUUGUAAAUUUAGGAUCAUCCUGGUCUUUCUCCGCCUCGCAUGUCCAUCUGUUGUUUUAUUUAAACACGAAUAAGGUCCACAAUCCACUACAGGUCUUUAGAGGACAAUAAUAUUUGCUUUUCCUUUUGCUUUAUAUUUCAAAAGUGACAUUUACAUCGUGAAGCAUUUCUAGCUAGAGACGUGGUGCGUUUCAAAUGGACAUGCGACAUUUGAUUGGACAAACUUUUGUGAAUUUAGGACCAUCUUAGUCUUUCCGCAUCUUUGCAUGUUCAUCCGUUGUUUUAUUCGGACACAAAGUAGUGAAAGUCUUUCUAAUAAGGUCCACCCUCCACUAUAAUGUCUGCUUUUCCUUUUUCUGUUUUUCCAAAGUGACUUUAAUGUCACGAAUCAUUUUACAGCUAAUAAAGUGGAAACGUUUUACAUGUAAGAGGGUAAUACUCCACCACAUGUCCAUAGAGGCACAUGUCCAUAGAGGACAGGACAAUAAUGCCUUCCCCUUUUGCUGUCUUCCCAAAGUAACUGGGGCCUUUCACAUGGCAAUGUGACGUUCGAUGGAACGUGAAUAAGAAAAAGUAACUGUACUAACAAGGUCCAUCCUCCUACACAGGUCCUCAUAGGACAAUAUGCCACCUUCUGCUUUUGCUUUUUGCAAUAGUGACAAUGUAUGAUUGGACACGAAGAAGUUGAGUACAACCACGAUGUAUUUCAAUCAAAAUAACCACAACUUGUCGUUCAAAGGAACUGCCAUUAGGGUGCUCGUUAAUUAAUUAAUAAAAGUCUUAUUGUACUGAUUUUACCCCAGAAUAUGUAGGACCAGCUUGUUGGAAAUGGAUAUCUCAUUUUUAAGUAAAUUGAAAAAUAUACAUGGAUCUAAUAAUUGCCCUAGCUUUCGAAACAAUUGGAAUUUGACCCGUGCAAUUGUGUAGAAUUGAUUAAAAUUUACACUUCAACACUUACAUUUUGCUUUUUAUAAAAAAAUUUAUUAUUGUAGAAAAUAGCAUUUGCAAAAUAUAUUAUAAAUGUCAUGGUUACUUAGUUAAUACAAGAUAGAUAAAAUAAAUAAAUAAAAACAUGGCAAUACAAGGAAAUACAUAUAAGUCAAACUAAAAAUAUAUGUCAUUACAUUUAUCUUGAUUUUUGUUGCAAAAGAACAAAUGAAUAAUAACAAUAAAGAAGACAGAAAAGUAAAUUGGAAAUUGGAUUUAUGUAGGUCAAUAAUCCAAUUUGUGGGGAGAGUAGCAUUAAAUUUCACUAUAGAUCAAGUCAUGUUAUGAAAGUUAUAACAACACUUGAGAUAUUCAAAUACUCUCAAGUUUUUCAAUCCCCAAUUAUAUCAAAUAACUCACACAGUAUUUGCCUGCACAAUUUCUUGCGAAACAAUUACUAAAUCUCACUAAGGAAUUAUAGAAGCUUGACCAACAUUUUUAUAGCUAUCAAACACUCAGUGAUUAAUUCUCUCUGAAUAUAAGUAACGAACUUAUGCACAGCCUUGCAUGUUGAAGUUGAAGUAUUCACUGAACUUGUACGAAAAAGCACUCCACAAACAGCAUUAGGGGGGGGGGGGGGGGGGGGGGAAGGCCCCCGUGGGAGUGGCAAGUAUGGUCGUUACAAAUGAAGUUGAAGUAUUCACUACUUACUCAUAGGUCAUGACCCGAGCUACUUUGUAGGAGCCCAAAAAAAGACGUGGCAUUUGGUAACAAUGCAAUUAGUAAUUCUAAUUUCAUUUUGGCAUGACGUUUCUCGUGAUCUUCACUUUGGGACAAUGAUUUUGUAAUUCUAAUUAACAUGUUGCCUUCUAUCGUUCCCCCACUCAUACCAUUACCACGGAAGAGGCAUUGACCUGCUCUAUGACCUGAGGCUUGCAGGUCCAGCCUGCCUCCUUAAAACACAGUACCAACAAGUCCAUAUUCAGACCUACAUUGCUUAGAUUUAUAACUAACUUUCUAAGGCUCUGAAGUAGGAUGAAUAAGUACUCUCUUAUCAUUAUUAUGCUUUAUCAAAUAUUACAUGAUGACACAAAAUUUAUUCAAUCUGAAAUGACUCGAAGCAUUCAACAUAGAGGUAAAACUCCCCAUAAAAAGAUUUUAGGUGGUGAAUUUUUUGAGUGGGUUUCAACUUAGUUUUUAAGUUCUUUUCUACUUUAUGUGCGAUUUGGAGUUUCACAAACUCUCCCACUUAUAAUGCUAGUGUCCUCAUAAUUGUCAACUCAUAUUGGGCAGUGAUAUAUCCUAUUCUACCGAGAGUUGUACUUUUUCAAGCUCACACAUUAUGGCCAUCAUUCACCGCUUUGUUGGAUUAGUCAUCCAGUCCAUUCCCAAAUCAUACAUCUACAACAAAGAAUCUUGCUAAGAUUCAUUGUGACACGACGCGUUUAUUGUUCAUGUCCAUUGCAUGGAUUAGCCUAUGCUGACAGGCUUGAGUUAAACUAUUUAUUACUAUCAUGGGAAUAAAAAAAGAAGAAAGGUUUGGUCUAGAAGUGACCAUAAGAAUUGAGAUCAUAUUCCCAAAUCACAUAUGGCUUUAUUUGGACAGGAAUAAGGUCCUCAGUCCACCACAAGUCCUUGGAGGAUAAUAACGCCCGCUUCUCCUUUUGCUUUUCUUCUAGAGUAACCCUAAUGCCGUGAAUCAUUUGCAUCUCCAAACGUGGCACGUUUCACAUUGCUAUGCUUCGUUUGAUUGGAUGAACUUUUGUGAAAUUAGGACCAUCUUGGUCUUUCCACAUCUUGCGUGUCCAUUUGUUGUUUUAUUCGGACAUGAAGCAUCAAAGACUCAAUUAUAAGGUCCCCUUGUGUAGAAUUGAUCCCUUACACAAGCACGACAUAAUGUGGAUGUAAUUGCAUCAAUGGAAUAACUGGGGGAAUGAUGACUAACAACAUAACAGACAAGGAAUUUUGAACCACCGACAUGUGCUUUAAUACAAUGCUAGAAAUGAACAAGUAGAAUGCGGACAAUUUGUUGGAACUAUAACAAAACAAGUAGAAUGCGGACAAUUUGCUAAUACUUCAGAAGAGAUUCUUCUCAGAUUCUGAUUAUACCCAUGAUAAUUACCCGCCUCCUAAACAGCCAGUCAAGAAAUAGCAGAAACAAAUCUACUCACCCUGACUUUGCCAGCUAGCAACGCCAAAGUCCAGGGCUAUGCACUUUUGAUUCCAUGAAGCAGAAUAUGAAAAGUCAUCAAAAUGAACAAAGGGCAAAGAUUUCAUUGAGUGCUAUCCAGUCCACGAAAUGCCUUCAUUGCCGGAAUGGAAGGGUUGAAGCGCAAUAAAUCCAUUUCCCCCAUAGAUUUCAAUGUGUAUCACAGUAUGCUCAGAAAUUAGAAGAUUGUGAGUGUGGGAAUAAGUACUUUGCAUCGGUAAAUGCAGAAAGAAAGUUAAUACCAAGUUCAUUCCACUUCUGGUGAAUGCUGCAAAAGUUAUUUUUGCAUGUCAGAAUUAGAGAAAUAAGGGAAAUUAGUCAGGUAAAUUCCACUACUUAGUAAAUGUGUUCAAAUGGAGGUUCCAGACUAAAACAGGAAAGAGGAUUUAAAGCAUCUAACUGCCAUUCACAUGACAAGAACUUGUUUUAUCCAUCUGAAGUUCUGAGCUACACUUUUUCAAGGAGAUGAAACUUUCAAACAUUUUCAAACUUGUCUUUCAUAUUGAUUAUGUCCAGAAUUUAGAUUCAUCCAGUGGAUUGAACAUCAGGAUAAAACAGACACUUACUAAACAGGAAAGAUAACAUAUAUACAUACCUAUCCCUGUGAGUAAUUUGAGAACCAACUAAUCAUGAAAAAGUCCAGAUCUUAAGAACAGAGUUUGCAGUAGCAUGUCCCUUCUUCUCUACAACAAGGAGCAAUCUCACAUCCAAGGUCCCCUUCAGCAUCUUCUCCUAGGCUAAAUACCGGUGAGGCAAUGGUGAAGGAAAGGGUAUAUAGACCUUUCUAUAGGUCACUGGGUCGUACCAACAAACUUCACCCAUGGAAUUCCAAUGUAAUCUGAAAGGGAAGCAAGAUUUAGAGAUUUGAUGAAUGAGAGAGAGCACAGUGAUGACAAAAGAAUUGGUUGAGGAGUAAGAGAACUGCUAGAAUGCAAAAAUAAGCUGAGAAUUCCAAAUUCAAAUGCAACAGUCUGUUAAUAAGAUCCCAGAUUUUUAUUUCAUUUUUGCUGGAUCGAAGAUAUCAUGGGAAGCAG